ACGCGUUUCAGCACCAUAGGCACAGAGCAACAAACAGAGAGCUUCCUACAUCGUAGUGGAGAUAACCAUCUGGGAGGAGCAUCGCCAAUCCGUCAUGUGGCCGGAGAAGAUGAAGGCUUGGGCGGCCAUGGCCGACGACCCGCUCAAGACCGCGUCAUCGGCAUCGUCGCAUCCUUCGAACCCGCUGAAGCGCUACAGCCCGACGACGUUGGCAGCCGGCGGCCUCAUCGUCGUCGGCGGCCUCGGGUACCUCAUGUUCGGGGGGAAGAAGAACGGGCACGACCAGCAGGCUAGCCGGGCUUAGAGAUCGAAGGCAGUCGAGGUCGCCGAUUAGCUAGUUUACCGAGAUGUUCCAAUAAUAAGCUCUUACCCUUUUUGCCGGUUGUUCUGUACUUGUCUUGUCAUGAUAUGUAUAAUCGAGUGUGGUUUUUCGUUUAUGUGUGGCGUCUCUUGUCCAUGCACGACAUGCCAACAAUUCACUGAAUAAAGUGUCUUUCUUUUCUUGUCCUGUGGCCUAUUCGUUUGAUGAGUUGGGCUCGCACAAUUCAGUUUCAAACGGUAGAUUUAUUUAGAACAGGAUGCUCAUAAGAGAUGCGGAGAUUAUGCAGCAUUUGAACCACAUGAGACAUGGUUCGAUGUUUAAUUGUUGCUUCGUAGCAUCUGAAACCUGUUUUGUGAGGAUAGGAACCUGCCCUAAAUUACUGACAUUUCAAAGCACCCUCAUUCAGUUAACCUGCAAAUGCCCUGAAAGGCUGAAACACCAGAACAAACUAGCAGCCUACCUUCUGACAUUGUACAAACCUGCGUGCUACAUUCCUACAUUCCGAUGCUUCCUCUGCUUCCGUGUUGGAAGGUGAGCAACACCUUACAGGCUACGAUCCGUCCAAAAUCGAGUACGUCGCCAUGGCCAUCUGACCACAGUGGGACCCACAUCGUCGGCGUCAGGUGCAGGACGAGUUACAGGUAGUCACGGUCAGAUCACUUCAGCUGCUUCUGCUUCCCAUGCGCUUGCUGCUCUCGAUAUGCGCAGAGGCAAAGCCACGGAGUUUCUCUUCGAGGGCGUGGAGAAGUUGAUCGCCUGAUCCAGUCCCAAGACCUGUGUUCAUUGUGCUUUACGGGUAAGUCCUCCUUCAACAUACGUUCUUCAGGCAACUGGCAAAACAAACAUCAGAGAUGUCGAGCUGCGUUUCAGCGAUUUUUAUUCUUAGCCUUUCAGGAAAUCUCUCCAAUCGAAAUGGAUAGCACGCAGGGAAAUCAAUAUAUAUUGCAGCUUGUCUGAAGCUUUCAGCAUAAUCACAUAACGGCAAACGGCAAAAGUGAUGCUGGGAUUCUUCAGAAUUUCACCAACACAAGGUAUGGUUAGAAUGUUAAAUCGUUUGAUGGUAUCAUCUGAAACCUGUUCUGCAAGGAUACACACCUGCACCGAAUUACUGGCAUCAAAAGUACACUAAUUUAGUGUUACAGAAUCAAACUGCAAAUACCCUAAAACACCUGAAUAAGCAGCCUACGUUUCAGCCUGUAUAAUGCAUACUACAUUCUGAGCUUCUGAUGAUUCCUUGCCUACUGUUCUCUUUUAACCUCUGAUAUCUCAAACCGACGAAGCAGUGUUACAACUACAGUCUAGAUUUCUAGUCGAUCUUGACUGAAGAGUAGAUGAGCCUGGUGAACCAGAAGCAGGCGUAGAAGCCGAUGGUGCCGGUGAGCACGAAGAAGGCGUACGAGGCAAUGAGCAUGUAGCCGAAGUAGAGCACGCCCGAGACCGUCUUCGUGAUCUCCAGCUUGGUGAAGAAGUAGAACGUGGCGUACAGGAAGAGGUACAGCGCUGAUGAGCCAGCCGUCAGGUAGGACCUCCACCACCACUGGUAGUCCUCACCGCAGAGCUGGAAGUAGCAGAGCACAAUGGUGAUCUCCGCGCAGGUCAGAAUCAGGAUAACGAAGACCAGGAACAGGAAACCGAAGAUGUAGUAGAACUGGUGCAGCCAGAUCGAUGUCAGGAUGAAGAAGAGCUCGAUGAACACAGCGCCAAAGGGCAGGAUGCCUCCGAUCAAUACUGAGACAACUGGGUUCAUGUACCAUGGCUGCUCUGGUAUUGCUCGUGGUAUCUUGUUUGUCCUCACGGGGUCCUCCAUGGCAGGCUUCUUGAACCCAAGGUAGCUGCCGACGAAGACCAGCGGCACAGAGAUCCCGAACCAGAGGAGGACUAGUGCAAACAUGGUGGUGAAUGGCACAGCACCAGAGGACUUCUCACCCCAGAUGAGAGCAUUCAGGACGAAGAAUAUUGCAAACACAAUGCCGGGGAACAUCAAGGCCGUCUUGAUUGUGAUGUUCUUCCAUUCUGAGCCCUUGAACAUCUUGUAAAGGCGCGAGGAGGAGUACCCUGCAAAUAGGCCCAUGAAGACCCAGAGGAGGAGCAUUGCUGUCAUAAGCCCUCCCCGGUUCGAUGGCGAGAGUAGCCCAAGGAUGGCGAACAGCAAGGUGACAAGCAGCAUCCCAAAAAACUGUACGCCUGUCCCAACAUAUACGCACAGCAGGUCUGCGUUGACAGGAGGCCUGAACACAUCGCCAUGGACAAGCUUCCACCCUGUCUCCUCCUGAGCAUCCUCCUGGUCCUCUAACUGGUUGUACUUGGAGAUGUCGCGGUACAGUGUCCGGAGCAUGAUCAUGGCAACCAUCCCAGAGAGGAAGAGGACUAUCAUCAGAGAAUUCACAAUAGAAAACCAAUGGAUUUGAUCGUCUGCCAUCAGAAGGUAGGUGUCCCAGCGUGAUGCCCACUUGAUAGGACUUUCCUGCAUGACGCACAUAUGAACAAAAAAUGUCAGAAGAUUUGAAGUUUUCUCAAGGAAAUAUUAGACCGUCUAUCUGAAGGUAUACAGUGGGGAACUUUGUCGUUAUGCAUUAAAGCUGAUCAUAGACAAACAAUUCAAGAUGAUGAAUAGUUGAAACUACCUCAAAGUUAACAUCAUAAGUGAAAACAAUCUCUUUAUUGGCUUCUACUUCUUGAGGUGAAUUUGAGUCUACGACUAGACGUCUCGAGUGCGGAUCACAUGUUUUCAGGGGUGUAGCAGUCUCCUUCCAAUCGCCAUCAUAUUCAUGCUUAACACUGCAGAGUAUAUGAUAAAAUAAUCAUAUGAACCUAAAACGGUAGCGAGCAUCAUGCCAUAGGUUCAGAAAUGACAAGUGAGGAUGCCUGCCUGUAUGGUUUGACCUCAAAGGCCACAAUCCUAGCAAGAUCCGUGUUUGCAUCCUUGUGAUAUUUCACCAGAAAUGUGAAGUGGUUGUGGAUGAAAUGCUUCUCCUCCUUGCUCUGCAUCCAUGACAUUCAAAUCAGAACACAUUUAGCAUAAGCCAGAAGCAUCGGUUUUCGUAGCUAGAUACAGAUUAUCAACCCACCCCUGAGUACUGUCCCUUGACGCCGACAUGCACACCUUGUUGAUAGACAGUAGGCACAUCUUGAUCCAACCUCUUAAUAGGGACGACCAAAGGAAGGUUGUCAAGAAUCCUGAAACCACAAAACCAAGGUUCACUUCCCCGUUCCAGUCACCUACUCACCUGAAAUAUAUGGGCCUUUGAUCUACGUCUAUGCAACUGCAAGCAGUAAAUGGCCUCUCACAUGUUUAUGCGGUACUCAUCGUCGAUUUUCUCCUUCAGAUCCUUGGCUUCGUCUUGGUUCGGAGCAACCUUGCACACGAUCUGGCACAGCUUGGGCUCCAUCAUCUCGAACUGCAUUUCAAGGACCACGAUUGAAAAUUUCCCAAAGGGACCGAGCUAUAAUUGCAGCAAACAUACACGAGUGACCUUUUCCUGGGCCUACUCAGAACAGCAGGUGGGUACUACAAACAUAUACAGGAACUCAGGAAGCAAAUGGUGGAGCACCUAGUACUGGUCCCAUAGGCUUACCACGUAUAGCGAAUUCUCGAUGCGGUCGCCGCGGAGGACCUCGCCGAGGUUCUCGGCGCUGUCGACGAUGGUCCCCGGCCUGCAGAAGGGGAGGGAGUAGUAGGAGUAGGGCAGCUGCGUCUUGAUGGAGCUCAGUUGGUUCACCUUCACGGCGAGCGGGUCCUUCUGCAAUCCACACAUCACCACAGCCUCAGCGCGUGAGGAGCCGACUCACCGAGACCGUCAAACCGACAUGCCAGGCGAAGAAGAGAGAAACGCGAAACAGAGAGCAGGAACGGAAAGGGCGGGACCUUGCGGAAGUCGGCGGGGGCGACGCCGGGGAGGUAGAACCCGCGCGCGGCGCCGGCGCCGGCGAGCACGGCUACGGCAACGAGGAGGAGCGCCAUCACCGGGCGGGUCGUCGCCAUGGGUGGCCGGGGAUCGGGAAGGGAGGUAGGGAGGGCGAGGAGGAGGUGGGAAGGGGGGGAAUUCGUCGCCGCCGGCCGGGGUGUGGCCUUUGCUCGGAUUUGACGGGUGUCCCCGGGGCGGCUGGCGGGGUUAGGUGUGAGGCUGGCAGGUGGGCCCGGAACCCCGCGCGGUUCGGCGGGGCGUCUCGCCUCCCGUACUUGACACCUCGUGUGGCCCACCGAAUCGCGGAUUCCAGAGGUGGGCCGCGGGACCCACCGGUGGUGCGCGAAUCACGACGCGGGUUAACUACGGUGGUUUAGGAUACACGGUCCAGCCGUACAUGCUGGUUACGUUACAUACAUUACGCAUUAUGAAACGGUGCAAGUUGCGUGUUAGCGAUACUUUAGAGCGUAGUGUCAGCGAUACUUAGCGUACUACUCCCUCCCUCCCUUCCGGAAGUCGUUUUGACUUUUCUAUGUACACUAUGAUCAUGCUUGUGCGUUGAGCAACACAAAUUCCCUCCACAAGCAUCAAACGGAUUCAUAUGAAACAUCUGUACAACAAGUAUCAAUGGAAACAUAUACUUUUGCCUUUACAUAUCAUUGUCAACUUCUAAUUUAAAAAAUUAUAUUUGCCACCGUAGUAUACUAUGUAUGUGCGUUGCUACGAGAGCUUAGACAACAAAGAAACAUGUCUUAAAUAGUUUACAGCAUUUAGGUAUUAUUCAUCAUGAAUGGCUGCUUGUAACGGAGUGCAUAUGAGCUUAAAGCAACUUCGUGCGUAUGGUCCAUGGACUUAAAUGAGAUGACAGAUGCUUGAGCUGUUCUGAAUAUAUUACAAUGAACCUCAACACGAUGGGAAAUCAAAACAUUGGACCCUUUUCAUGACCAUACACAUGAGUUGUUGCUUCUGGUUGCAUUACUGUUACAACGUUGGACAAGAGUCAAAUUUCAAUUUGAAACAAGUACUUGGAAUAGCAGGAAGAUGUGCUCUACGUGAUAGCCAACAACCAAAAGAAUAGGUGCUGCAACAUGGAAAGGUUUUCUAAGAGAUGAUCCAACUAUACAUAAGCUCACCAUACUACUUUGACUACUAAUUAAACACAAUUUGGAUGCAAGCAAGCAACCCAUUUAAAUUGCACAAUAUCAACAAGUUAAAGAGACCAAGCUGUCUUCUGUUUCAAAAAAAAAAAUCAGAACAAUUCCAUGGUAGCAACGAUUCAGCUAACUAAAUCUAAUUUCUUUCAGGCUCUGCCUUGGAAUGCGAUCGCUUUUCUAAAGUUUAAAACACAAAAAUUCUACACAAGUAAGUUAACCUUUGUUUCUUUAGGAUGACACAUAUAACACGGGACUAAUCUUCAUUUGUUUAAUGUCACAGAAUAUACUACCAUAACUUGUAUGCAUGCUCUGAGUGCUAGAAAACGAUCAGACAAACCAACAUACAUGUUGAUGGCUGAAUAUGUACAAUGAACAAUCGCAUCAGAAGGUGAUCAACUCCCUGUUAGACAUGACCUGCUGCUUUCAGUCAAAUUUGAUGCUGGGGUGCAGAUUGACCACUAUGAUCCAUAUGCUUCCUAUGAACAAACAUUUUAGCUAUAUGUCUCAAAUCAAAGCGGAAGCAAGAAACUGAUCUCACCUUAGUGGUCCAGCAAUAGCACCACAUGUAUUUCAUCGGGCACCCUUUAAGCAGCCUCCAUAUCCCAGCCCUAGCAUACAUUCCAACUAGGAUUAUCACAAGCAGGUCAGGCACAAACACUUUGUCCACACUGCAACACUCGUGCAUAUGCCUGACCAAGAUGGUUCAGACUUCAGGGAAGCCAAGCACCACCACAGUCGCCGGUCGGCUUGCUACUCCUCCAGAUGACCCACCACUAUGGAUGGUAGCGGGCACAUUACCCGCGGGCAGAGGGUUUAUAGACCCGUGCCCGCGCCCACCGCCCAUCACGGGUAAGAAGUUGUGCUCGCGCCUGUCACCCACGGGCACAGUCUACCCACGGGCACACCCGUGCCCGCCAGGCAACCAGCACCUCUCACUCCAGCGGCGGAGCAGCAUCAAGCGGAACCGGGCAUCGGGCGGCGGAGCGGGCAGUGGGGAGCGAGGGCGGGCGGCGGAGAGGUGGCGACGGGGAGCGAGGGCGGGCGGGCGGCGGCCGCCUGGUCCCUGGUGUGCGGGGUGCGGGGCUGCGGGCGUGCAGGUGCGGCUGGGAGCCUGGGAGGAUUGGAGGAACGAAAGAGGAGGAACCCUAGAAAUCGCUUAUAUAGUUGUAGCGGGUUCGCAGGUUUGCGGGCACGGGUAAGGUAUUUUUAUGCCCGCUAAUUUUUUACCCCGCACAAACUCAAACCCGCACCCGUACCUGUGGCAGAAAAUAGAACCCAUAUCCUCGCUCUACAGGGUUUUUGCCCGCGGGCACGCGGGUAAUUUGUGCCCGUUGCCAUCCAUACCCAGCCUUCUACACUAAUAGUGAUAUUAUCCUCAAAAGCUCUUGUAAUCUGUAAGAUAAUCAACAACCAAUGUUUCAAUGGAAAUGUCUUUAGUAAAGAAUAUGCUCUUAACGGAAAAACAAUGUGAAAUUAUGAACUGAGUUGGUUUUUCUUGUCUAAGGGAUGGAUAAAGGGAUGACAUGCUAUUGAAAUAACACUGAGAGGCUAUCUAAGUUGACCACCUAGGCAACACAAUUAAUCGACCAUGAGUAACAUUCAGAUAAGCGGUUCAGAAACAGAACAUUCAGAAUUUUAGAUAUACAUCCAUCCAUAAUUUCUAGAUGGAAACCUGUGCGUUGCCACGGUUGUAACAAAUUCUCUUUAUAAGCAUCAAUUUUUAUUAUAACGAAACAAGGUAAUAGACUCGUAUCUUUUGACUUAAAUAUAUUCACGAUCAAUAUACAUAUUUCAAAAUAGGCAAACGAAUUAUUGAACAAUUAUAUUCAUGGCUGAGUGCUGAUUGUCAAACCAGAAGGUUCGGAGGCAACAUCAUGCCGAUGAUGGUUGAUAGAUGUCCUCAUAUAGUUGAACCAAGAAACACCAUUUCAUUAACCGUUGUCACAAUAUGAUGGCACUAAACUAACAAUACCAGAGAUGAAAUCACACUCGUGGCAGAGCUGUAUUCCCUCUAAUAGCUAAAGAUGUUAAAUACUCAAAUUAGCUAAAUAAGCUUGGAAAAGAUCGGUACACUAUUCUAAGCCUAUUCUGAGAACGCAACUGCUGGUAAUCAAUUUUGUAUAAGCUUGGAAAAAUCUGAUACAUGUAUCUCGUGAAUGCACAGAAAAGUUUACCUCGCAUUAUUUUAGUAUAGAAAGUGCAUAAGCCUUGAGUGCCCCAACAUGCCAAAUUCCAAGCUGCCUUGCAAAUACAAGCGAAAGAACACUGUCAUUUGCUAAUAAAUAAGAAUGGAGAAGCAUCAGUUACUGAAGACUCUUCACUGAAUAGCAACAGUAUGAACUGAAGACAUGAAAUCCGAGUGUCAUUCUGCAGAGGUAAGGUGAAACAUAAUGCAAAAGUAAGAGCAAUGUGUUUUGACAAUUCCUGUUCUAAUUGUAGUACUGCUAGCAGAAUUUAUGUAUGGCUCUAACAAAAUUAACAAAUUUAUGGAAAGUUCUUUUGAGCUUUCCUGGUUUGAAAAAGAAGCACAUCAGCCAGAAAAUAAUGGUAACAAAUGGCAGCAGCCCUCUGUCUCCUCCUUAUCGGCCAUGUCUAUGAUGUGGUGGCAGCACCACAUGCAAAUCUGCACGUAGACGGAGAAUUGAUUAAAUGACAGUUCAAUGGAUAGGAGGAUUAUUGAUAUACAUACAUUAUAUAUAUCCGCAUCUGCAUGGAUUGAGGUGCUGAUCAGAGAUGUCCAUCUCCUUGGCACAGAUAGUCUUCAACACUGCUCAUGAUAGUCCUGAUGAAUGAUCAACCAACAACAAAAUUAGCAACAUUAGUAUAAUACACAGUGAAUUUCAUGGUACAAUCUCUCAGCUGACAGCUAAUAUUUGAAUAGACCGAAUUUGCAAUAUACCCGGCAAAUUGUUUGAUCAUUCAAUGAUCACCCAGAAUUAUACACAAAAACAGACUCCACAUAGACAUGAAUCAACGGGUCGCCGGACGACAGGCCGCUGGGCAAGCUCACAUCUGCUGAAUGCAAUAAUUUUCCACACAGAAAUUAUUUUGAGAGGUAACCAUAUGCUACACGUUUGGUGCUUAUAUAUAAAAAAGAUGUCUUCUGGAUACCAUCAUAGUAAUACCAUGCUGUGCAAUUUGAUAAUCUGAAUAAAAAAUGUUAGAGCAAUCAGCACAACAUUUCAACAGAUGGUUGGUAUGCACAAUGAGCAGAUCACCAACCUUGUUUAAUUGGUGUGCACGAUGGAUCCCAUUCGAGUUAAUGCCGCUUUCUGCCAAUGUGUAAAAUGAUCUAUUGAAUUAUUUUACCAGACAAAACUUUGGAUGCGCCAAGUAAUAAUCAGAGCUUACCUUUUUGUCAUCUUUCACAUUAUCCUUUAGUAUCCUCUCCCUGUAUUCUGUGCAUUUAAACAGAAAAAAACAAUUUUACUCUUCCUUCGUGGCAUGAUAAAAAUGAAAUCAAAUAAGUAGACAGAUGAAACAUUCUCACAUCCAUGUUGUAUCAACUAAUCGGUAUUGGCGUGAAGUCAAGUAAAUUAGGGAUAAAUUGCUCCGCCUUCCAGACGAAGAUCGAGUCGGUUUCCACCGCAUGCUGCUGCAUACGGCUCGUCGAUCAAGGCAGAGGCGAAUCUGAUUCGAGUUGGGAGAUCAGGCAGACCGAGGGACCCAUGCCAUAAUUCCCAAGAUGACAAAGAUCUAUUAUUACAGUCACGCGUGGAUUGAGGCAAAUAAUCAGCUCCAACUACUCUAUGUGAAAAACAAUUUUGAGGGAUUUGUGCUACACGCACAUGAAAGGCUACCAUAAGAACUCAAAAUCAUAGCCUAACAUACAUAGAAGAUAUACGCGAGCACUGCUACCCGACGUCUGGGUGCAUCAAGUCGCCAACGACUACUUCGACUACUCGUCUCGACUAGAAAACUAGUCCAGGACGGUCUAUUUUGACUACUCGUCUCGGGCGAGUUCCACGUGAUCACCAACUAGUCGGAAUCAACUCCGACUAGUUGGCUUCAUCAACAAUCUACACGGCUUCGUCGACAAUCGUCCACUAAUCAAGCUAAGUCACUUUUUAAUUAUUUUAUAUAAAUUUUCUGGCUUGUUUUCCGCAUGCAGGGCAAUGUGCCAAGUACUUAUUUGUGUGUGUCUUUCGAUGGUAAUUACCAUCCAGAGCUACACUUCGCCGACUAUUCUUGUAACGCCCAUAAAAUUCACCAACCAAAUCACUCGCUAAAAAUCGCUUUCAAAAUCUUUCACCGCUUGAGCUCUCUAAAAUCCAGUCUUCCCGGCAAGUUCGCCAUCCCGGCACCGAAGCCGACCGCCGUCCAGCCGUGUUCCCCUUUUAUCUCUCCGCGAGUCACGCCGCAUGCUGGACGGAAGACCACCGCGCGUGCCCGUGACCGUUCCCGCAAUCCCCGCCGUCUCUCCCUUUUUCUUCUCUUUUUCCUUCCCCUUUUCCCUUCCUUUUUCUCCCUUUUUCAUCUCUUCCAUAUUUCCUUUCUUUUCUUCUUCUCCCUUCCUUUUUCCUUUUCUUUUUCCCUUCCUCCCUUUUUCUCUCAAGUGACGCACCUAGCUUCUUUUUCCCCUGCCGCAUGCAUGCAUGCAUGCACCAAUAUUUUUUUUAUUUUUUUCUUCCUGGCCGUGCCCGCUCCCCCCUCCCCCCGUCGCAUGUCCUGGCCCCACCUGUGCCUACAUCCUUUCCCUGGCACACACGCCUGCUCCCACGGCUUGGCCCCCCAGCGCUAGCUCCCCUACUGCACGCCACCCGCGCCUAGCCCUAGGCCCACGCCUGCCCCCGGCCCCACCUGCACAGCGCACCCACCCCAGCGCACCGCUGCCCAGCGCCCGGCUCCUCCCUCACGUGUGCCCCUGCGCUAGCCCCGCACGCCGCACACCGUUCGCCGCCGCGCUUGCUCACCGCGCACCGGCACACGUCCUUACCGCCUACCCCUCCCAACGCGCGACGUCGCGCUAGCGCUGCACCCUGCCGCACGCGCCCACGCACAGCACCACCGCGCACCGGCCUCCCCGGUGCGAGCGCGCUCGCCGCGGCCACCGCACCCGGCGUGCCUCAACGACGCCGUGCCACACCAACAGCUCACCACCAGCGCCCGACCACGCCGUCCAUGCCCAUCGCCGCUCGAGCAUGCCACCGUGUCCCUGUUCACCUCGCCGCGCGAGCCCAGCCCCGCCACGCCGUGCACGCAGAGCUCCACCUCGCCAUGCCACCGUCCUGUGCGCUUCCUAUUCCUGAGCAUCCCGACGGCUAUUAACUCUGCCGUUCCUAUGCGCCGCCCGUCGGCAGCCCCUCCCCUCGCCUCCGACCUAUAAAAGGCCCUCGACUCCACCAUCGAGCUUCCGGCCAACUCCCUUUGCUCCCGUGCUUCCAGUGCCGUUCCUGCAGUCUCUCGCCCGUCGUCGCGGAACCGCCUCUACGAGCCGCCUCAACCCGAGGUAAGGAGAGGAAUCGAAUCCCAUCGGCCUCCUCUCCGUUUUCCCCCACUUUUCGGUCGUAGCCGUGCCCCGACGCCUCCUCUCCCCAACCGUGCUGCCCCUCCUAUUUUUCCCGUGCGAUGUUCUGUCUCGAGGAAGAAGAAAUGUCAUUUUGUAUUUUCACCCAUCCACUUUUUCCUUUUUGCAUACAGACCCUCCCACCUCUCUCAAACUUUCUUUGCCGAUCAGCCCCUCUACCUCCCAAAGAUAAUUACAAACAAGUCUCUGGUUCUCGCAGAUUGGUUCUAAGCCCAGUUUUAACCCCUAAAUACAUUGUUAUGUCGUUAUUUCAUGCGCCAAACUUCCUCCAAUUAAUCCCAAAUUUGACCACGGCAUCCUCCAAUAUAUUCCCGCCGAGUCAUCUCCAAAUUCCAUGAAAAUACUCAUUACUCCUAAUUUCCGUUCAUGUUCUCUGUCCAAGCUCAUUGGGUAAAGCUUUAUUUUUUUCUUUUAUUUAUUGUGUGCCCAAUUGUGUGUGUUGUAGAUCGCGGAGUUCCCAAGGAAGAGCCCGAAGAGGAGCUUGACGACCAGUACCGCAAGCUGAAGCCCGAAGACCAGCACCGCGAGCAGGAACUCCCGGAAGGCUUUGAGGAUGGCAAGCUCAAUCUCAUCCUUUGAUGCAUAUUUAUCCUAGUUUUUUCAAACACAACCUAUUGGCCUAUUUUUUAAAAUUGCAUAUUGUUUUACUGCUGAAACACAGUUGGAUAGCCACCCCUUGAUUGUUAUGAUUAUUCCUUGAUUGUCCUAUAAUUAUCUCUAAAUAUGAUUUGCUCUGUUUGGAUGAUAAUUACUGCUAGAAUGCUUAGGACCUUGUUACUCAAUUCAAUCAUGACUACAAUGUGUUUUGUUAAAGAAUAAAUGUGUGAGUGUUUUUAAAAGGGAAAAUGGAUUUUCGGAAAUAAAGGAAAGAAAUGUUUAGAUGAGAUGGAUGGGUGUUUCUUGUGUGAAAUGCCAAUAAGUUGGGCUCGUACCUUUGUGGUUGAGCAAGGUUGGGAGAUAUCCAUUUUGUCACGAAUUAAGGAUCGAGUUGAUGUGUCAUCUUGCCUAACCCAACCUUUGUGCAACCACUUGACCGUUGUCUGCGGCAACAGUUAGCAUAAAUCCCACUAGCUAGUAUAUUAGUCAUCAGGAGAGCUGAUGAGCAACGGGAGACCAUGGAGAAGGACUAAGAUCUUUGUGAUUUAGGUCUUGAUUAAGACCUCGUUGGUAGGUCAUUAACCCCUUGGUUGCUCCCGUGUUGGCUAGUCAGUCUUAGCUAAGAUGGGUAAUAGCUUUGAUAGGAUCAGCACCGGCACUAAGGUGAUCACAUUGCGAUACCCUACUUGUGGGAAAAGUGUACAGCCUCUGCAGAGUUAAAACCUAUCCGGGUAGCCAUGUUAAUGGCAUUGGACGAGUUACGGCUUGUUCAUAUAACUAGUGCUUGGAGAUAGAUGAUUUUCAUGGCGUCUGUUGGAUUUUGGAAGUGUCCGGCAGUUGUGCCGUGAGCUACUAUGGACGGGGAGCCCAGUAGCAUUAAAACUUGGAUCCUUUGUGUAGGGUCAACCCUAUUCAUUGAUUCGGUUAGUAAACAAAUGCUUUGCGAAAGCUCUUUUCAAAAUGGAUAAGGGCAUAUGUUGAAAAUCUAGCUUUAUUGCAAAUAAACCUUAGCCUUAUUCUUGAUGUAUCCUGUGCAUAUUCUUGAUUGUAUCCCCCUCUGUGGAUGGGGUUGGACUUGUUGAGUACUUUUGUACUCACCCUUGUUUUGUUGCUUCAGAGGAAGACCCGGACUUCGUUGCCGAGGAUUUCGAGUAGGAGAUCGCUUCCGCACCCACACUGCUUGUGGUGUUGGCCUUUGUAGAAUGCUUCCGCUGCUGUGUAGUCCCGAGUGCUGUCUCUUGACAAUAGCUUGGUUCGCUGCUGUUGUUUAUUUACUUAUCAUUUUGGCAUGGCUUUCGCGCCCACUCCCUCGGGAGUUGUACGGUUUCUGAACUAUCUGUUGAAUAAAUAUGUUAUCAGCCUCCUGGGACUGAUAUUUGUAUCAUAUUUAGUCUCUACUUAUGUGGGGAUGCUUCAAUUCUUGGGGCAUGUUGACCGACAACCAUGGCUUGGUACACCGAAUUAUAGAGGUUAUCGCCACGCGUUUGGUGCAGUGAGUUCCGGAAGCUCCACCACAGGCUUGGUACACCGAAUUAGGAGGCUCUGCCACGGAAGUUUGGUGCACUGAGUGCUGGAGGCUCGCAGCUGCUACACCCUAAGGAGGCACAAAUCCUAUGCGCGGCAACACACGCUCUUCUCGCCAAAAGGUAGAAAAGUCUCAACGACUACUUUAAGUGCAAUCGCGUCGUCUUUUUGUUGCAAUGCCGACUAUUUAUUUUAAAUGUCUUCUCUUAGCGGUUGCCAAUAUCCUCGAGCAGAACACGCCUCAAUUUGUGAAAGCCUUGGAUCUUCUGUCCUGCCUAAACGCUAGGACAUGAGACAAAGAUCUCCGUAGCAGCAGUGCUAUUACGCGUACACGAGACAAAGAUCUCACACGCAGUGGCAAUGGCUAAACAGGGACUGGGAGCCUAAACGUAAUAGGCUAACUGCUCGGGAAAAAUAUGACCGAAACAAGAGCAUGACACACAAUAUUUACAUUACAUUCAUCACUGAAUCAAUUUCAAUAGUUUUAAUAUUCUACAAACAUGCUACAUAAUGUAUGCAUCUCUUUUUGCAGGUCAAGCUUCGGCAACGACUCUCCAGGACACUCCGCGUACCUAUAAUGGCUCACUGGCUCUCAGACUUGAGGUUAAGCGCCAAUUACUACUCGGAAUAUCUCAAGUGGCUCAACUAGCUUCCAAGCUCGGGGGUUAAGUGCUAAUAACUACUCGAUGUGGCUUCUACGGUUCACCUAGCUCAUAAGCUCAGGGGCUGGACGCCGCAAUACAACUCGGAUGAUGACUUGCGUGAAGACUGAAGACCAUCGGAUUAGUUAUUUAAUCAUUCCAAGGCUCGGUGGCUGAUGAGCUACACCCAACAGUUGAUUUUUUCAAGAUGAAGAAAGAAGAUUUAAGAUUUUAUUGACCCUCUAUCGGUGUUUAGAUCCGGCAACCUACCGAGGGGGUGCCUGAGGUAGUGUUUUAGUUAAUGGGGCUUGCCGAGAUCAGGAACUCGAAGGGGAACACAUACACACGAUUUAGACAGGUUCGGGCCACUAGAUUGUGUAAUACCCUACGUCCUGUGUGUUGGUUGGAUUGAAUUGUUUUGGAGGGGGUCCCUGCGUUACCUUAUAUUGUCGAGGGUAGGGUUACAAGUCGGUUGAUUUACAAGAAUACUAGUCGGAUUCGACUAGACGAGUCCUACUCUGAAUGCUACGAGUACUUUUUCUAAUCCUCGACUAGUUUCUGUCUUCCACGAAGACUACGCCGUCUUGCGCUAUAGCCUCUAUGUCAGAUACGUCUCGAUAUCCAGCCCUAUAUUUAGGUCUUUCCAAACCUUCUGGUGGGCCUAUAGAUGUAUGUACGACACCCUCAGCUUGAUUCUUUGAUUCAUCCUAAGGCUCAGGGGCUACUCCAUAUGGAGUGCGACUUCCGCCGCCCUCCAUAUCACAUUCAAAAAAUGAAGAUUACAAAAUCAACGAUCAAGGGCUUGAGCACACUAUAGCCUCAUGGCAGCUUUGAAGAACUUUGAAGAUUCAGCCAGACAAAGAACUCGAGAAGCACUAAACUACUCGGCGAGGAUCUGAAAAGUACCCGAAGACUGCUGCAUUCGAUUAUGAAGCGUUCGGGGGCUUGUCGGGGAUAUAUCCCUGGUACCUGCAUGGAAGGAAGAAGACGGACUCCUACUAGGAUUCCUCUGUAAUCCUAUUAGGAUUUAUAUCAUGUAAUCCUGCUAGGACUCUUCCUUGUAACCAACUAGUAAUCCCGCUCCUAAAGUAUAUAAAGGAGGGUAGGGGUCUCUAAAUCGGUAGGCGAAGACCUCAUAGAAUCACAACAGAGGACCAAAAUCCUCAACACCAAAUAACACCCAAGUGUAGGGCGCAAUAUACAACACCCCAAACAGGAUGCAGGGUAUUACGCUCUCUAGCUGCCCGAACCUGUAUAAAUCUUUGUCUUGUGUCCUCGCUUUUACCUUCGAGUUACAGAUCCGACGAUCCUCUACCAACUAAUCUACUACCUCGAGAUACCCUAUCGGUAGGUUGUCGGGUAUAAAACACCGAUACUACUGUAGGUACUGUUCUUAUAUGCUCACAAGAUCGAUUAGAUUUUGUGUUGACGACGUGUCAAGCCUGAACAAAGACGCUUGGAAGUAUGAUUAUCGUUGGAGCUGUGAGUGGCCUCAGUGGGGAGAUGCAAACGUGCCGCCGUCUCAGCGUCUCUCCAGGAACAGCCGAACAGGUGUGCGCGCACGCCACUAGGGAACGGCGGCGCAGCUGUCCAUGGCGCACUAGGCGCUGCAUUUUCGCCGAGAUGCUGGUACAAGCCAUCGUCAUGCGCCGGACUAUCGGUUCUCCGUGCUGUUUGAGUGUUUUGUUUGACCGGCCGAAAGCCGGCAGCUUGUUGGCGGGGGUUGCGUGCCAGCCCCGCGCGCUGCCUCGUGGUUCGGCGAAAUCUGUGGCAGUUUGGCAGGGUCGCCAUUCGCCAAGUCAUCUUUGAAUCGAUAUUGGGAUGGUCCUUGGCAUGAUGUGGAUUUGGACAACGAAAUGCAUCCGAUCCGAGACCUUUUGUUUGACCGAUUUUCACGCAGCCUGCUGAGUGGGCUGACCCGAAAUUUGAGCAUACUGACAUUGCUCCCAUGGGCCACUUAACGCUUCGACAGGCUGCAAGAGGGUGUGCGCCGAGCUUUUCUGUUUGCAGCAGCAGCCUGAGGGGCUUUCCCACCAGCUCAAACAAAUGAAAAGCACGCUGCAAACGGAUAUGAAGUAGCCUAGAUAUAAAUUUAAAUGCAAGAUCAUAUAUACAGCUAACAACAUAACUCGAUGUUAUGAAAUUCGGGCAAUGCCCUUAGUGUAAAAAAACAUAACUCGAUGUUACCAGAUUUAUGAUGAACUUUUAAUUCAAACAUCAUUCUGCCCUACAACUUUUGUCAAAGUAACACACUGUAGAUUGCAUCAAUUAUAGCAUGAAAAAGGCGACUACAGUGAGAUGCUCAUCAUGGAUAGUGAGAUUAUUCAGCAUUUCUGCAACAGAAACAUGUAGUUAAUCAGUUGAUUGAACACAAAGUUGUGGGGUAAGGAUGCACGCAUGCACCAAGUUACUGAAAUCAAGCUUUCAGUCUAACUGAAUUAAUUCGUAAACCUCCUAAAGACUCCUGAAUAUAAACAUGCUACGUUCACAUCAUAUUUCAUUUCCCACCUUCAACCUCUAACUUCUCAAGCCGACAGUAAAGUGAUGCAAUUAUAGAUUCCUAGUCAAUCUUCACUGAAGAGUAUAUGAGCCUGGUGAACCACAAGCAGGCGUAGAAGCCAAUGGUGCCAGUGAGCACGAAGAAGGCGUACGACACGAUGAACAUGUAGCCAAAAAAGAGCAUGCCGGAGACCGCCUUUGUGAUCUGCAGCCUGGUGAAGAAAUAGAAUGCGGCGUACAAGAAUAGGUACACUGCAGAGGAUCCAGAAGUCAAGUAGGACCUCCACCACCACCGGUAGUCCUCGUUGCACAGCUGAAAAUAGCAGAGCACAAUGGUGAUCUCUGCGCAGGUCACUAUAAGGAUUACGAAGACGAGGAACACGAUCCCAAACAUGUAGUAGAACUGGUGCGUCCAGAUUGUUGUCAGGAUGUAGAAGAGCUCAAUGAACACCGCGCCAAAGGGCAGGAUGCCUCCGAUCGAUAUCGAGACGGCUGGAUUCGUGUACCAUGGCUGCUCCGGUAUCGGCCGCGGUAUCUUGUUUGUCCUCACCGGGUCGUCAAUGGCAGGCUUCUUAAACCCGAGGAAGCUGCCGAUGAAGAUUAGUGGCAAAGAGAUUCCAAGCCACAGGAAAACCAGUGCGAACAUGGUGGUGACUGGCACAGCCCCGGAGGAUUUCUCGACCCAGAGGAGCAUGUUCAGGGUAAAGAAUAUUAGGAACACAGCACCAGGGAACAUCAAGGCCGUCUUGAUGGCGACCUUCUUCCAUUCUGAGCCCCUGAACAUCAUGUAAAGGCGUCCAGUAGAGUACCCUGCAAACAGGCCCAUGAGGACCCAGAGCAGGAGCAUGGCUGUCAUGAACCCUCCACGGUUUGAAGGCGACAGGAGCCCCAGGAUGGCGAGCAGCAAGGUGACAAGCAGCAUUCCAAAGAACUGUACACCUGUACCCACGUACACGCACAGCGUGUCAGCAUUCACAGGAGGCCUGAACACAUCGCCGUGGAGAAGCUUCCACCCAGACUCCUCCUGUGCUUCCUCCUGGUUCUCUAGCUGGUUGUACAUGGAAAUGUCACGGUACAGAGUCCGGAGCAUGAUCAUGGCAACCAUCACAGAGAGGAAGAGGACUGUCAUAAGAGUAUUCACAAUGUAAAACCAAUGAUCGUCAGGCGUGCUAAGGUAAGUGUCCCAGCGUGAUGCCCACUUGAUAUCACUUUCCUGCAUUGAGAAAGCAUGUGAACAAAAAUGAAAAGGUCAGGAAAUCUAAACUUUGCAAUGAAAAAUCCGACCAUAGGACUCCUAGGUCUCAAUAACGGGGAUGGUUGUAUACAAUCAACUUGGCAAGUAGAAGAAUUGGAACUACCUCAAAGUUAACAUCAUAGGUGAAAAUGAUCUCUUUGUUUGCCUCUAUUUCUUGAGGCCUAUCAGAGCUCAUUACUAGAAUCCUUGUGUGUGGAUUACAGGUUUUAAGGUGUGUCAUAUUCCCCUUCCAAUCACCAUCGGGUUUAUGCUUAACACUGCAGCAUAUAUAUAAUAAAUGUACAAAGCAAGCAUCAAAUAAAUGUAAAAUUACAUCAUGCAUCAUCACUCGGGAACUUCACAAAGAAACUCAACACUCUGUCUGCGGGAUGAAUAUCGAACCUGUACGGUUUAACUUCGAAGCCCACAAUCCUAGCGAGACCUGUGUGUUCAUCCUUGUUAUACUUCACCAGAAAUGAUAAGUGGUUGUGAAUGAAAUAACUCCAAUCCUUUCUCUGCAUCAAACACAUUCAAAUCAUAAGACAAUUGCCAUUGGAUGAACAAAUCAGUAUUCCUGUCUAGCGAGAAGAUCAUCAACCCACCCCUACAAACCACCCCUUGACACCAACAUGCAUGCCUUGUAGAUAUAAUGUUGGUGCCUCUUUAUCCAAUCUCUUAACUGGGAUGACCAUAGGGAGGUUAUCAAGAAUCCUGCGAGCAACAAAAGCAAAGGCUCAUUCUCUAAUCAAAUUUUCUGAAUAUCUAUGCAGUCUGCAGCCAGCAUCUCACAUGUUUACACUGUAGGAGUCGUCGAUUUUCUCCUUGAAAUCCUUUGCUCCUUCUUGGCUCAGAACAAUCUUGCACGCAAUCUGACACAGCUUAGGCUCCAUCAUCUCGAACUGCAUCGGAAGCACAACCGAAACAUCAGGGAGCUAAUUACAGGCAAAAGCAGCUCACAGUAGGUGGAUCCGUGUAUGGUGUGGAACACUAAAAUUCCAGUACUACUGUAUCCUGCAGAAUUACCACGUAGGGCGAGUUCUCGAUUCGGUCGCCACGGAGCACCUCGCCGAGAUUCUCGGCGCUGCUGACGAUGGUGUCCGGCCUGCAGAAGGGGAGGGAGUAGUACGAGUAGGGCACCUGCGUCUUGAUGGAGCUCAGCUGGCUCACCUUCACGGCGAGCAGGUCAUUCUGCAACCAGCCAUCAGGAACCACACACAGACCCAGCGCGUGAGGAGUAAUGACUCGUCAUUAUCAGGAUAGUUUCCUGAGCAAGAGCAAUCAAGCCGAUCAUGAAAUGAGUGAGAGAGGGAGAAAGACAAGACCUUGCGGAAGUCGGCGGGGGCGACGCCGGGGAGGUAGAACCCGCGGGCCGCGCCGGCGCAUGCGAGGACGAGGAAGAGGAGCGCCGGGUGGGCCAUCUCCGUUUGUGGGAGGUGAGGUCAGGAGUGUGCCAGGGGCAGAAGAGAUUAUGGGGAAGGGGAAGAAGCGGGCGAAGAGUGGAGUCGUCGGCGACGACCGGCCCGGAGGAUUACGAAGCGUCAGGUUCGGCGGCGGUGGGCCAGCACGGGAGAGAGAGAGUUUUGACUUGUGUCGCUUGCUUGGCAUCGGCAGACGCAGCUCGUGAUGACGCAAACGCAAGACUCGAACCUUUUGACUUUGACUUUGACUUCGGAGUGUCACUAAAAGGUCACUUGCUCGGUUAUCCUCUGAAUCAGAUGCUACUGCAAGUCUGCAAGGUUACUAGGGGGCUGUUUGGAUACGAGGUGCUAAACUUUAACAGUGUCACAUCGGAUGUUUGGAUGCUAAUUAGGAGGACUAAACAUGAGCUAAUUAUAAAACUAAUUGCAGAACCUUGUGCUAAUUCGCGAGACGAAUCUAUUAAGCCUAAUUAAUCCAUCAUUAGCAAAUGGUUACUGUAGCACCACAUUGUCAAAUCAUGGACUAAUUAGGCUUAAUAGAUUCGUCUCGCGAAUUAUACUCCAUCUGUGCAAUUAGUUUUGUAAUUAGCUUAUGUUUAGUACUCCUAAUUAGCAUCACAAACAUCCGAUGUGACAGGUGUUAAACUUUAACAGGUGUUUCCCAAACACCCCCUAGAUGCUCUCAGUUUUUCCUCCUCACCCACGAGGAGGCGAAUUUAACAAUCGAUUUUCUCAGAGAAAAAAAAACAGCUAAGAUCGAUUUAUACUGCUACGAUGAGAUUAGUACUGAACUGAAUGCAACCUGUCAUCGCCAUGUCAGUCUGAUGUCGUUGCUGGACUGAAACCACCGCUAGAACAGUUUUCCAAUGGGUCCUCCCUUCUAGCGGACACGGCCCAGUUAGGCCCAAUAGCUCGACCGCUCGACGCGUCGACCGCCGCAUCGGCCCAUCCCGGCACGAGUCGCGCGCCGCCGCAUCCGCUUGUCGCGCCGUCGUCGACCUACCUGCUCGGCCGCGCCGCUCGCUGCCCAGGUCCGCUCGCCACGACCUCGGCCGCCACGCACUCGCCGUCGCCGCGGCCUUGCUCCUGCGCCUCCUCACGGGCCAGCCGCUCUCGGCCCGCUACCAGGCGCGCGCUUGGGGGGAUCCGGCCCCUAAACCCUAGAGCUCGCCGGCUCGGCUCGCUCCCCCCGCGCUGGCAGCGGCAAUGGAGGACGAGGAGAUGGAGAAGAAGGUGCAGCAGUACCUGCAGCGCAAGGGGUUCCGCCUCACCGAGCUCGCGCUGCAGGAGGAGCGCAACCGCCUCUCCACCUCAGUCAUCUCCGACGUUGCGCUUGAGAGGUAGGUUCGCCUGCUUCCCAAGCUAGCUAGGUGGGGUCCUAGGACGUCUCCGCCAGUGGCGGUAGCUUCCGUUACGAUGAAAUUGAAAGCUACUGGACUUGUGUAAUUUGUUCGAAUGAAUUCGAGUUGGUGCUUUUUUUUUCUGGGCGCUCGGAGUGUAUAACCUCGGUGCCCUCGCUCGGCUGUUGAUUUGGCUAGUUUGCUUGCCUGGAUGUGAACUGUUGCCUAGUGCUCUCGUCUGAAUUGGAAAUUAGCUUAGAGAGUCUAGUUGGAGGAAUUGGCACUAACGUUAUGGGAGUUAAGGGGUGUAAAAUUGCGGUAACUCAGUUUUCCAUGAAGGUCCAAUGUUUUCAAGUGCCUGCCACCUGCAGAUGGCAUUCCAUAGAUUUUGCUAUGCACUUAGAUAUAUGCUAUGUCUAGCAAAAGUUAUGAAUCUAGAAAAGUGAAAAUGACCUAUCAUUUGGGACGGAGGGAGUAGAUCUUUGGACAGGAAGGGAAGGGAAUCAAGGGAUAUGUAAGUAACAGAAAAUUCAAUGUUCAAAUCUCUGCCGGAAUUUUUUGUAACAUCCAGUUGAUAAAGGCUGCUGUCUGUAGCUAUGUGGAAAACUGCAUUUUCUGGACUGCUUGCAUGUGAUAAUUUGCAAAGCAGUCUGUUUAUUGGUUCAAUGGUGCUUGAUCGAUAUUACAAUAAUCAGUUGUUUUGUCACUAUCUGCCCACAAAUAUUUUUCUAGUCCAUUAGCAUACACAGAUUCUGAAGGGCUUCUAUUUUCUCUUAUGAUCUUACCAUUACCAUUUUUCGGUUGCUUAUGUUCUUCAAUUACAGGUCUGACAAUGAUCCGGCAAGAUACCAUGAUGGAUAUAGUAAACUAAGAACAUGGGCAUAUAGUUCUCUUGAUCAAUACAAGGUGCGUUGCUUGUAGAUAAUUUGUACUUCACAUGCACAUCUCCAAUAAAUGUGAUUGCUUUUGAUACCUUGUGUCCAAAUUGUUCAUUUGUUUCUGUUAGCUCCAAGUAGCACUUUUAUUUGAAUCCUCUUUGUGUUCUCAGUCACGAAUUUACACUUUUGGCCUCCUUUUAUGAACCACAAAUCUGUUCAUCUGAGCGUGGUUUUGCACUUGACUACUUAUGCAAUUCUAGUUUGUCGAAAGGGUAUUUGCUUGUGGUGCACAAACCACUUAUGAUCAUAUUUUCCUUUCUUUUUCUUAUGGUGCACCUUCCUGUUAUUAAAUCUGGCAGUACAAUUCAUGUUUCUUAAUUCUGGCAAUACAAUAAAUGUUUCUUAAUUCUGAUCUUUUUGUGUAGCACGAAUUACUUCGUGUCCUUUACCCAGUUUUUAUCCAUUGCUUCAUGGAUCUAGUGGCAGAGGGACAUAUGCAAGAAGGUAUUUCUCGUUGUUGGGCAUAAUUGUAUAGACUUCUGCUGUUUUUUGUUUUUAGCCUUAGUUUAUUGAGGCAUUUCUUUCUUUUCCUAUCCUGUAGCUCGGUCAUUUUUCCAUACAUUUCGAGAAGAUCAUGAAGUGAUGCAUUCAAGGGAUCUUCAGAAGCUGGAAGGUGUCCUCUCUCCUUCACAUUUGGAGGUUAUUUAACUAUUCCCCACAUUGUGCCAAUACCAUUUGAAAUGAACACUUGUUUUAUAUGAUUGAUUUUACCUUCUUAAGAUUCCAGAACUGUGCAUUUACCUUCUGCAUGUCAUAAUUUUCAGGAAAUGGAACUGGCCCGAUCUUUAAGGCAAAAUAAAUUUAAAAUUAAAAUGUGCGAGGUAACUACUCUACGAAUUCCUUCUCAUCUCUAGCCUAUUGUUUUGAAUUAUGCUUUUUAAUUCAUCCAUGCUCUUUUACUAGAAUUGAUCCCUUUUAUGGAGAUAAAAUACUGCACAUCAUAGUAAAAAUGACGUACUUUAUUGUGUUGCCGCACGCCAUUAUUCUACCUUUUCCCCCUGCAUUCCUUGAUAGCUAUAGUAAUAUGAUUUAUUGGAAGCUUCAUAUGUUCCUAUUUAAAAAGCAGCUGCUCCAACUAAAAGUUUGACCAUAUUUUCCUAUUGCAGUAUUCAUAUCAAUUGCUUCUCCAGUAUCUCCAGAAAACACAAGCUUUUGUGGUGCUGGGAGUAAUCAAUCAGCACAUAACUUUUGAAGGUAUGGUUCCAUGAUCUGCUGAAUUGAGUACUUCUGGUAUGCAUUGUACUUGUGCAUUUUCACUUCUUACAGUCUUCUCUACCACUUCUAUUUGUACAAUUGGCAGUAUCUCCUGGGCAGCCCUCAUUAAUCUCUGAUGAUGCGGAUGUUGUUGCUCUGAUUGGGACAAGUAAGGACUUGGCAAAACAGAUAAAUCAGAAGGAAGUACAUUGGGGGGUAUGUUACGCAUCAGUUGGAUUGUUUUCCACUUAAGUUAUAUCGAAUAGUCAAUAUUGCAGAUUAAACAGUUUGUAUUUGAGUUGUCUCCAGUGAAGUUAAUAUAUUCUGCUCUAUAUGCUCUCAUGCACUUCUUGUUUCCCAGUUGCUUGAAGAUUCCGUUGAAGAGCGAAUGGAGAAGGCGCUAGCAGAAUCUGAUAAAAUUGAAGCUGAAAGCAAGGAUGCUGAAGCAGAAGAUAAUAAGGCAAGGGAUCAGAAUCUUCUUACAUUAUGUGUUCUAUAUACUGUUGGGCUGUUGAAAUAUCAACCUUAUAUUGAGAAUGUGCCUCCCACUUCACUAUCUGUAGGUUGUAGCUGAUAACAAAUGCUCAUUGCUUGGUUCCAGUUGCACUGGGCAUACCAGUGUUCCUGGUCAUAAGAAUUUUGGUGUCUUAGCAGUGUAUUCCUGUGUAUACAUGUAUUCAUGGUCAUAAGAUUUUUGUCAUUAUAUUUUGCCACAGAAAAGAAACGCAGAAGGUGGAAAGCAAGGUGCUUCUAAUAAGAAGACCAAAAAGGAUAAGCUUGUAGGUGCAACUGGAAAAAAUGUCAGAACUGAAACAAGCAUGGUUUCUGUGGCACCUCGAGUGAAGCCGGAGCUAACUCUUCCAACGACGUAUGUUUCUAAUUCCUUUGUGGCUAUAACUAUGGAAAACUGUCCUCCAAUUUUUCAUGUAUGGUCUUUAUUUUGUCUAAUAUUUCAAAAUCCUAAAUAACACCUCAACCUUAGGCCUUCGUUUAAGAAUGCUAUUCGUGUAACUGAAAAGUUAGGUCAAGGUCUGACAUGUGAAUGACAUCUACUUGCUAGAACUUUUGAUUCUGUGACCACGACACUUUUAUUUUCAGGGACAAGCCAGUAGGGGGGGCUGGCAGGGGCCAUGGCCCCCCUCAUGGCCCAAUUUUUUUCCUACUAAAUCUCUAGUAUAUCUUAUAGUAUUUAGCUCAUCUUAUGAAGAAAAACAUAUGAAUUAGUGUAGUUGCCCCCCCCCCCCCCCCCCCCCCCCAAUCUUGUGAUCCUGGGCUUUGUCACUGCUUAUUUUGGAAUACAAACUGAAAUUGAAGAGGGUUUUUUAGGACACAAAAAACAUUAGGCCCUGAUAGAUUCAAAAUAAUCUUAACUCUUUUGUGCACUAUUCUUAUUGCUUGAUAGUUUGGAGGUUGUUGCUGGUUUACUUUGUGUUCAUACCUUUAUCUGUCAAAGUAAUCAACCUUGAGAUAUGCGCGUAUGGAAAAUCUUUAUGUAUUUGUUUCAGGCCUAUUGAAGUUGAACAAUCAAUUCUUGAGGACCUGAGGAACCGUGCACAAUUGAAUAGUAUGGCAUUGCCCUCUGUUAGCUUCUACACAUUCCUUAAUACACAUAAUGGGUAAAUAUAACUGUUAUUUGAUAUUUAGAACUUCUCUGUUAAUACUUUGGGUUGAGUAUCAUCCUGUGGAACACAGAUUGAACUGCUCAUCGAUAUCACACGAUGGAUCUUUGGUUGUGGGUGGAUUUUCUGAUUCGUCAGUAAAGGUCAGUCCGUUCAGGUCAAAUGUUCUUUUUCAUGCUAUUUAUAUUCGUAGCUGGUAAAAUUUCCUUGCCUUUCACCAGGUCUGGGAUAUGUCAAAGAUUGGUCAAUCAGGAAAAACAUGUAAGUUCGACACCUUUUGUUCCUGACCAAUUCUUUCACUCUCUCUUCGUACUCUCAGUGUUGCUAUGCUAAAAUACAUGCAUAAUUUUGCAUCUAAUUUAGGCCAAGGUCAUGUUGAUGUUUUGUUUUGAAUAUUUUAAUCAGUUUAAGUUACAAACACUAAGCACUACAACUACUGCUUUAUACAGUUUUUCAAUAUUCUUCUGCGAAAGUCUGACUUCAGAAUAAUUCUGCCAUUCAAAUAUUUCCAGUUAUAUUCUGAUGGAGUUUGCUAAUUUGGCAAACUUUAAUUUUCAGCUAGUUCACAGGGGGAGACUGGAUCUCAGGGUGUUCGCGUAUCAACAGUAGAUGAGGGAAAAAGACCCUAUACACUAUUCCAAGGUCAUUCUGGACCAGUUUAUUCCGCGGCCUUUAGCCCAUUUGGGGAUUUUCUCCUAUCAUCAUCUUCAGACUCGACAAGUAAGAUACCUAGACAUAGUGCUUGUACGUUUUGUAGGAAAUCCUUUCCCUAAUUAUCUUCUAAAUUUAGCACUAUAUCCUUACUCUUUAUUUGUUACAGUUAGACUGUGGAGCACCAAGCUGAACGCCAAUCUUGUCUGUUACAAAGGACACAACUACCCUGUUUGGGAUGUCCAAGUAUGUGAAUAACUAUUUAAGAUGUUGAUCUUGCAUUUGUAAACAUUUUAAUAAUAUAAUUAUGCACCGUACUAUUUGUUGAUACCUUCUUUUGUUUACUUUUAUGACAGUUUAGUCCAGUUGGCCAUUACUUUGCUAGUGCUUCGCAUGACAGGACUGCUAGAAUCUGGUCGAUGGAUAAAAUUCAACCUUUGCGAAUAAUGGCUGGGCAUCUUUCCGAUGUUGAUGUAAGUGAACUUCUGGUCCUAUAACUUCGUAUCAUUCGAAAAGUUAUGGUUUGGUUAGAUGGAAUUGUUGGUGUUUUUAAUCCUUUUGUGUUUAGUACCCACUUGUUUUUUCCAAUGUCCUGUAUUGAUGCCAGCAUGAUUUGACGGAUCUUUUUUUUUUUCUUUUGCCUGCAAAUUGUUUGCUUAACAGUGUGUCCAGUGGCAUGUAAACUGUAACUACAUUGCCACCGGCUCUAGCGACAAAACCGUAAGACUAUGGGAUGUACAGACAGGUGAAUGUAUACGGAUGUUUAUUGGUCAUAGGAGUAUGGUUUUAUCACUGGCAAUGUCACCCGAUGGACGAUACAUGGCCUCUGGAGACGAAGAUGGAACCAUCAUGAUGUGGGAUCUCUCAACUGGUCGCUGUGUUUCACCAUUGCUAGGACACGGUUCUUGUGUGUGGACACUUGCUUUCAGGUAAUCAUUAGUGUAACUUUUCUAGGUUAUAGCAGCACCCCAAGUCUAUUUUGAUCUGAUAAUUGUAAAAAAAAAGGUUAUAGAAACUUGCGCAAAGAGUAAGGGUUCAUUGUAGUUAAAAGCAUCACUUGGUAAGCUGGCCAGUCCUGCGGCAAGCAUAGCUGGUUCAUGAAACAGUUUUAACUCAAGUUAUAAUUAUCAGUAGUGCUAUAGCAAGAAAUUAGUUUGCUAAUCACUUACUUAGCCCUUGUGUAAUUUAAAGGUCAUGCAAUUCAUGUCUUCAAAUUACUGGUGUUGGUCUCACAGAUUUUGAUGUUGUUUAGACUCAGAAUACAUGAGUCAUGGCAUCAGCUAAAUGGCGCUGCUCUGUUUGCUUCUUGCCUUAGACUUUUAGCUGAUCAAAUAUGAUACUUGUCCUAUGAGCUCUUUAGUCUUUAAACAACAUAUUUCCUCCCUGAUUGCAGUCCUAUUUGAAUGUCAUUGGCUAAACAUAGGGUCCAGACUUCAAAAUGUAGUAUUAUUUUGGUUUUAGCUCUCGUUGCCUUUUGGAUGUACACUAGAGAUUUCUUGCUCUAGCAGCAACAUACCUUUUGUGGAGAACCUUAGCAAAUGGCAAUGCAGUCAUUGAUUUAUCCCAAUGCAUUCCAAUGGGAUAUGUAAUGUGUUAAGAUUAAACACUGCUGUAGGUUAUCCCUUUUAUUUUUGAAUCGCUUUCCACUUUAUUUAAGUUGCAACACAAGGUCUAAAUUGUACAUUGUUUCUUUCAUUGAUAGUUCAUGAUGUUCUGAGAUAUGCCAUGUAGGACUGCCGUUGGUUGAUUUUCUAAGCGUUAAUUAUACGAUGCAGUAAAGUAUGCGCAUAGUUAAUAUAUCAUGUUAUUGUCUUAGCUGUGAGGGGGCAAUGCUUGCAUCUGGAUCAGCUGACUGUACUGUAAAACUCUGGGAUGUCGCUUCCAGCACAAAGGCCCUGAAGACGGAGGACACGUAAGUUGAUUUACAUAUAAACAUGAUCAUCAAUUCAGCAUAUACUCCAUUCUCUUACUUGGACGUCAAAACAACCUUGUCUUUUCUGAAACAGCAAAGGUGGUUCAGCUAACCGACUGAGGCUUCUUAAAGCUCUCCCUACGAAAUCUACUCCUGUUUAUAGCCUGCGGGUGAGAAGUUUUCCACUCGUUUCAGCACUGUUAAAUUCAACUUAUGUUUUCUAUGAUGCAGUGUAACUGAAGAAUGAACUGAUUUCUGGUUAUUGCAGUUCUCUCGAAGGAAUCUUCUGUUUGCAUCCGGUGCGCUCUCGCUUAGCUAGUCGUAAGCUAUAUAUUUUCUAGAAGACAACUGGAAUUGUUUCGUUGUGGCAUCAAGUAGUAAGCUGACAUUUUGUGUACUUGACUGUGGAUCUUAUUAUAGAGUUAACAUUUUUAUAAGGGAUCUGUGACCAGAAAGCACUGCAGAUACUUCAUAGCGCGAGUGUAAUAUUGUAACAUUAUUAGGUAAUUACAUUACAUCGUGUAAAAUUAUUAUUUUGUAGGUAGUGAGUCAAACCUGAUGAAAACGUAUCAGGGGUGUAUGGAUACACCCCACUAAAGUUUAGCACAUGUCAUAUCGGAUGUUUGGAUGCUAAUUAGAAGUAUUAAAUAUAAGCUAAUUAUAAAACUAAUUGCACAUAUGGAGUCUAAUUCGCGAGACGAAUCUAUUAAACCUAAUUAGUCCAUGAUUUGACAAUGUGGUGCUACCGUAACCAUUUGCUAAUGAUGGAUUAAUUAGUCUUAAUAGAUUCGUCUCGUGAAUUAGCACAGGUUCUGCAAUUAGUUUUAUAAUUAGCUCAUGUUUAGUCCUCCUAAUUAGCAUCCGAACAUCCGAUGUAACACUGCUAAAGUUUAGCACCUAGUAUUCAAACACCCCCUAAAUCUGGUGGCCCAAAUAGUGUUUCUGUGGGAAGCACUGUAUUCGUAGCAUCCUGCAUCCUAAGAUGGGAGACUUCAUGGUUGACACUUUCUUUUCCAGGUAAAAUUUAUGCGUCUCGCACUAGGGCCUAAGCCUAGGGCAUGAAAGUGAAGCGUCAGAUUUGCAAUGAACAUGUUGGUUUUGUGGCAUCAUGCCUGAUUAACGACAGAAUCCAACCUGAUGUGAUAUUUUCGUCACUGUUUGAGGUGUACCAUUCAUCUACAACCAGUCUUUUUCAACGACACGUAGGACCGAGCCCCACAUGUCAUGGUAUACAGUAGACUAGAUAAUCAUUCGAUCGAUUGGUUGGUGGUGAAGAUCGUUUCCCUGUCCUGCGCCGGUGGUCCAGGCGAUUCUGGCUAGGCUUGUUGACGUCAGAAACGCUGUUCACAUGGCCAAUUGGUGGGGCGUCGUCCUCAUGUUUCCAUCUGUUCCGGAGUCCGGACACCGUCUGGGUAGGCCCUACCAUUUCCUCAACCCUGUCUUACAAAUGGAAACUCCAGUAUUGUUAAAAAGGAGCUGUCAUCUUUUCCAACAUCAGAUCAAUUGAAGGAGAAGGCUCAAGGCAUCGAACAUUCAACAAGUUAGGAACCACUUUGGAUGACCUCAUUGUGGUGAUCUUUCUCUUAAUUUGUAUUCCCAUCUUCCUUUAAGAUGAGAUAUGCUCCCAUCUUUCCAUGAGCAAGAAACAUCACGCGACGUCAGUGUAGAUGCUACAUCGUCGUCGUCGCGACAUCUAUUCGUUCAUUUUUUAGGUCCAUUUCAGGACCACAUCAUCUUUCUCGUGUCUAUGUUUAUAUUCAUUAGCAGACUCGUGACGAUAACCUUAUACUGAGGAAGGAAUUAGGCGCGCCGUCUUCUGCUGUUCAGGAAAAGGGACACACAGAGCCAUUGCAUUGGCAAUCUGUGGACAGGCCGACAGGGAUAGGUCAACAGACCAUACUUGACUAGGGCACAUUAUCUACCUCCAGGGCCCAUGAGUUCAAUGGCGAAACAUGACAUGAUUGCAGAGUAGGAGCAUCUGCGCAUGCAUCCAUGAAGUGGCUUCAGAUGAAUUGGACAAAAGGUGUGCUGUCCUGGUUGCACCAUGUGUAGAAGCGAAUCACUGGGAGAGUUUUGAGGAGACAAGAUUGUUAAGCUAACUUAACUAACUGGUAUGACCAGGAGAGCAAACUAAUUGCGAUUAGACGGGUCGGUCACUGCAUCUCAGUUGCACGUCACAGCCAUGAGCAUUGUGAAUUAUUGCUCCAAUAAAAUGAUUGGAGUGUCACUGCGGACCAGCAUUAGGCACUCAGCAUUAGGCCUCGUGUUUACUGGCCAAACCAUAAAAACACUGCUCCGGAGCAGUCGUUUCAAUUCCUUGAGCAUGUAGCGUUAAGGGGAUGUUUGGAUCAUGGACUAAUUUUUAGUUUGGGUCACAUCGGAUGUUUGUAAACGUGAACUAAUUAUAAAACUAAUUGCAUAAGUCGUGACUAAUUCGCGAGACGAAUCUAUUAAGCCUAAUUAAUCUAUAAUUAUCAUAUAUUUACUGUAGCAUCACAUGGUCAAAUCAUAGACUAAUUAGACUUAAUAGAUUCAUCUUACGAAUUAACCUUCAUUUAUGCAAUUGGUUUUUUAAUUAACCUAUAUUUGAUAUUAGAGUAUCUAAACAUUCGACGUGACAGUUACUGAACUUUAAUCUCCGAACCUAAAUCGAGUCCAGUAAUUUCUCUCAGUCCUAGGGUUGCUGCUCAUGGACAAGACAUGGUGGUCGAGUACAAGGUCACUUGGUGAGCUUGUCUUUUCGACGCACCUAGUUCCUGUUGCUCGUGCAGUUGCAGAAGCAAGCAAAUGCCACUGUGAACUGUUCAGAACGAGGCAAAGCCCCUGCCUGCCACUUCCGUUUCCUGCGGCUGCUCGCUUUGCCAGUGCGCGCUGCACCUGCAUCCGCGCCAUGCAUGUCGCCUUUUGCGUUUGACCUUCAUAAACAAAUCAAGUAAUAGGAGUAUAUAUUGUUGAAAGCUGAAACCAAGUUUUAAAUCUCCCUCUAUAACUGCUGCUAUGGUCCGCUACAACUGCUGCGACAAAAAAUUUUGUAAUCCAUGACGAAUUUUUCAUUUUUCAUGACAUUUUCAGAUAACGUUAGUGAUGGCACUCCAUCUAUAAUGAUCAGCCAGUUUUCAUCAUAGAUUCGCAAUUGUGAAUAUGAAGUCCAAAAUACAGGGACGUUUUAUCAAUUUCAUCACAAUUCGACCCACAACACUAUGAUAUUUCAGCAAAUUAGUCACAGACAAUAAAUUAGAAAUCUUCAUGUUUAGUAGGGGAAAAAUAGAAAAAUCAGAAAAAAAAAAUAUGGAAAAAAAAUCGGGGAAAAAAGAAAAAAAGUUGCGGAGACCAAGAAUCAAACCUAGAACCUCCCUAAUACAAAGCAUCGCAUUUACCCAUUAAACUACUUGUAGCACUCCUUACAACCGAGCUAUGCCCCCAUUUGUGAUUUUAUUCAGUAUUUAGUUUAUUUAUAAACAUAUGCGCUCAUGCGUUGCUGCACGACCUAUAACCAUAGUAAAGCACUUCUUACCACCGAGCUACGCCUCCGUUUGUAAUUUUAUUCAGUGUUUAAUUUAUUUAUACACAUAUGCGCUCGUGCGUUGCUGCAUAACCAAUUCAGAAAAAAGUGUGGAGCACACGGAGUUCGAACCAGGGUUGCAGGUUUUGCUAACGCAACAAACUUUACCACUGCAACAGUGCAGUGAUAAUAAUUGGUAAGAAAACCUUUUGUAUGUGUUGGUUCGUACGGUGGCCCAAUAAUGAAGAACAGAGGUAUUGUUUAUCUUUCCCUUUUUAAUUUGGAAUUAAAACUUCUAAUUGGUAUUUCUUCCUCAUAAGAACUCCAAAUUUGAUAAUUCUUUUUCCUGAAUUUUUCUAAAAUCACGAAAUUUCAUUUAAUGGCACUUGUUUGUAUUCUAAUUGCCAUUUCUUGGAUCAUUUUCAUAUGUCUUAUUUUCUUCCACCUAAAUAGAGAAUAAAAAAACAUGUUUUUUCAUAACAAUUGCAAAUGUAACUUAAUAUUUUCUAAUAUUAUGUUCAAAAAAUGGUUGUGCCAAAAUUUGAGAUGCAUACGAGAUUAAAAAUAUUACGAGGUAUUCAAAUCUCAAAGUUUGACUUGAGUUAUAAGAAACUAUGUGAGAGAUGUAUCCAUUUGUGAACAAUGUAUAGUCUUACUUUAUUAAAGUCAUUCAAAUUUUUUAUAGCAAGCUUAUGGACAAAAAUAUGCUAUCACAUAAAUUUGUAGAAUUUUUUGACCAAAUUUAGAUAUUAUUAUAAUUAUUAUGUGGUAAUUUGGAGAUAGAAGUUUGAAUUGUCUCUAUAAGAUAAUUUAAUUGUUCAUCUAUCUUUAGGACAUGAGCUAUAAUGGAACAUAGGAGCAUAAACAAAGUUUUUGUGCAAUUUUUCAAAUCUUAUUGGUGUUAUACACAGUUCAACUUGGAAUUAUCGAAAACGUAGAAAAGCAUUUUAAUGAUAGAAAAUACUAAAUCUAUUAAAAAAUUCUUGAAACUCCUACAUGACAACUUAAAUGUUGUCUACUAUAUUUAAAAUAUAUUAGUGUAUGUAAGAUAAUUUAUUUGCAAGUUACUUUAGAAGGAUGCUGUAAAAUGGAAAAAGAAAACGAAAAACAUUAAACAGUGAAGUAUGUUGACACAAGUUUGACUUCGGCCCGUUUAACUAAUUCGGCCCAGAAAUACACAUCUCCUAUUGCCAUUAGACCAAAGUUGUAUGGCUGAGAUAACUCAGCCCAGAAAUACACAUCUCCUAUUGUCAUUAGACCAAAGUUGUAUGGCUGAGAUGAUCCGGUCUUUGAAUAAAUACGCCAUAUGUCAUCCAUACAUUUAUGACCCCACCAGAUGGUUUGGACAGUUCUAAAUAUGAGGUUGUACACCGAGACGUAUCAGACAUGGAAACUACGGUGCAGGACAACGUGGUCUACGUGGAGGACAAGAACUAGUCUAGGAAUAGGAAACUACUCAUAGCAAUCGGAGUAGGACUCUUUAGUCGAAUCCAACUAGUAUUCUUGUAAACAACCGACCUGUAACCCUACCCCCGGCAGUAUAAGGCGAGGCAGGGAUCCCCUCCAAAUAAGUUCAAUCAAUAUAAUACAACCAACAAAACAAGACGUUGGGUAUUACGCGACAUAAGCGACCCGAACCUAUCUAAAUCGUGUGUUUGAGUUCACCUUCGAGUUCCUGAUCUCGGCGAGCCCCACGCAUAGAACACCACCUCGGGUACCCCUCGGUAGGUUGCCGGGUCUAAACAACGACAGCUGGCGCGCCAGGUAGGAGCUCUCGCUGAGAAUCCACUGGCGAACUCAAUGGCUCAAGUCAUCAUCAAGCCCACCGUCACAUUCGAAGCGGGCGCGACAUUCGUCUUUGCUUCCUGGAUUUGCGCAACAGACGGCGUUGGAAACUUCCACCACCACAUUGCACCGACUCCGAACGAGAAGCAGUACGCUAGUACCACAUCAACCUUCAUUGCGAAGCUCUCGAGGAUUUCAUCGAGAAAUUCAACAAAAUUUUUGACCUAUUUCGAGACUCAUGGGACGAGUCCGAGUACAACUCGACUUCUCCUACUAGUCGGAUUGGUUCCCACGAGCUGGCGCUUAAGCCAUCGUGCGGAUCGGUCUACAAUACAAGUCGAUUCCCGUUCAGACUCCGAAAUUCGGGGGUUGUCUAUCAAGACACCUUGUCUAUAUCACAAUUCAACUCGGAUUUGAUCAAGGACCUCGACUACUACUCGGAUCCGAAUGAGGAGACUCCAUUAUCAGGUCCACAACAGGGUCUGGUAAUCACAUCCACUCCACAAGGCAGAUUCGUCUACUGGCCCAACACUCGGUUUGACACACCUCAUCCCAGCAUGGCAGCAGCCAUAGACCAAGUCAAAACGAGGGUGCUAGAAACAAGCGUCCUAGAAUUGAGGGUGCUAGACCAAGCCAAAACAGGGUAGAGGGUAGUCGGGUGGAACCCUCGGGAGGCUGUGGCCACCGUGGGCCCUACCUAGAGCUUGAACCUCCAGUACGCGACCUCCGUUAGAAGAUCAACAAUAGCCACGAUGCCCAUACAAUCAUUGAAGGGUGCCACCGUGAGCGCGCACAAGAAGUCAAGUACCUCGGAGAAGAUUCUGACAGGUUCCCUACCUUCUCAAAACAAGUACAAAAGACAGUUCUACCCAACGAGUUUAAACCUCCGGAUAUUACCAAGUAUGACAGCAAGCAAGACUCAGUCCAAUGGCUACGGUGCUACGCAUUGUCAGUCCAGGCAGCGGGAGGAAAUGAUGACACCAAGGUCAUCUAUUUCCCCAUCUGCAUGGAGGUAGGGCCACUCACAUGGCUCAAGUCUCUAGAGAAGAUCUCCAUCAACAUAUGGAAGCACCUCAAGGUGGCAUUCACAAAUAACUUUGUAGGGGUAAUGCAGUGUCCUGGCAACAUGAUCAACUUAUCUUAAGUCAAGCAGCAACAAGGUGAGACCCUGCGUAGUUAUCUACGUUGUUUCUUCAACAAGAAAGCCACUAUCGUGGACAUUACGAAGUGGGACACCAUAGACUGCUUCCAGAAUGGUCUCUAUGACCGCUGGAUGUUCCAAGAUUUUGGCAGGAGACGUCCGGAAGAUAUCAAACCUCUCAAGAUCAUGAUACAAGACUGGGCGGAUGAAGAAGACAAGGAGAUUGAGAGGUUCGAGUCUAGCCGUAACAGAGGCCAGAAGAACAACAAUCAGAGUAAUGGCCAACGCAACGACAAGAACUGUAAUGAUCGACCCAACAAUGACAACCGAGGCAACUACUCAGGUGGUCAAAAUCGUAAGAGAAAGCUAGACAAUACUAUCGCGGCGAUGCUCCAGUUUUCCAAGAAAGGUGGCAGGAAUCAAGAAAGAACUCCAUUCAAAAAGUUCCUGAAAAAGCAGUGCCCGUGGCACCCACACUCUAAGCACUCCGCAAUGGACUGCUAUAGCCUGCACAUAGUCAUGAAAGAUCUGUCGGAACCUUCUGGAGCAAAGGACAAGGGCAAGGCUAAAAAAGACAAAGAUCAUGGCAACAAUGGCAAAUUCCAGAACCCGUCCAACACCGUUAACGUCAUCUUCGGCGGCACACCGGGUACUUGUAACAACUCUACCUAAAUUAAGUACUUUUAACUAUAAACCAGUGAUAAAUCAAAUCCCUAAGUUAAGAAGUGAAAUGACCUUUAUAAACCUAAGAAGCUCUUUUUUUGGAGUUUGAAUUAAAGCUUCAAAUUUUAUAUACAAACUUAAGUUUCUGCCCAAAUAAGAGUUGUAAAACUUUUUAAUUCCAACAACUUUUGUUAAAGGCACUUUGACUAAUUCAGAGUGGAAGGAAGUCAAAAACAGCAACCAAAGCCGGUUUUUCUAAAGGACCCUGAAAAUCUCUUAAGUCCUGGAAUUCGAGUUUUCCUUCAUCUUGCAAGAUUUCAUCUCCCGUUUCCCUAUCUAAACUCGAGUCAGAGCCUUAAUGAAAGUUGUAGUACCUCGAGUGUGUUCCAACUUUGUCACACUGACCCGGAUCCAAAUCGGACCCGAACUUGUUCAAAAUCCCGGUCAAAGUGAGGUAAACCAGUCAAUUCACCCCGGAUGCCUUAAAUCCUAAGUCUGGAAUUCCAGAUUUUUGGCUAACUUUGGCGUAAAAUAUCUUCGAAUCCUCUCACAAUCAAAACCGACACCUUAAACAAAGUUUGAAGAACGAUCAGUGUUAAACAAGUUUGUUUAAGGGAGUUUCGGAAGUUGUGUUGAAAGAUUCGGAGGAGGAUCGCUCCAAAGCUGGCCGGGCUUACUGCCCGAAAGGGGGCCUCGACGCCCGCGCGCCAGAGCACGUUCGCUCGCGCGCCGCGCGCCGCGUGGCCGUCGGCCACCGGCAGCUCGCCGGCGCCCUAUCACCAGCGCGAUAGCGACAGGACGAGAGCCACGGCGCCCAACCCGCGCCUGCGACAGAACGGAGCGAACGCCGGGCUAGCCAACCGCCGGCCGCGCGCGUGCCGCCUUCCGCCUGCCACGGCUCUACUCCGCCAAACCCGUUCCGCCCAUCCGCCGGGAAAGCUGCCACACCCCCGACGUCCCGCGCCUCCGCCCGCUCGCCCAACCCCCACGGUAGCCCUUCCGCCUCGCCCGCCUGACAGACCGGAAGCCCCAGACGCGCGCCGCCGAAGGCCAAUCGCCGCCGAAGACCACCCGGAGCUCCGCCUCCUCUGCCCAAUGGCGUCGUCGGCCAAUGGCCGCCUUGCCCGCGCACUCGCCGCUCCCGGCCUUAUCCUUUCCCCACCGGAGCUCCGCCUCGACCCUCCGUCCCACCACGGCCCUAUAAAAGGGAACCCCCUCACCGGCAACGCCACCCCUUUGCCACCGCCGCACCUGCGCCACCACUUUCUCCUCUCAGUCGCCGCUUUCUCCCCGCGCCGCCGCUGAGCUUCCGUGGAGCUCACCCCCUUGCGCCACCCCACACUCCGGUGACUUCGCCGCCACCCUCAAGCAGCUUCUCCCAACCCACCAGCUGCCUGUUCCUCCACGCGGUACCAGAGAGUUUGCCAGUGAUCCACCAGAAGCUCCGCCACCGCAGGAGCACCGUCGAAGCCUCGCCAUCGCCAAGCCUUAGUGCGUACAACCUUCCACCCAAGUCUACUCCUUCGACCCCAAGGCUUCACCGGUAGACCUGGAGGUAAGCUACUUAACCUCCCUGUCCGGCUCGCCCGACCCUUCCUUUUCGUUUCGCCCGACCCUUCCUUUUCGUCUCGCCCGACCCUUUCCUUUUCGUUUAGCCCGACUCCUUUGUUUCGGUUCGCCUGACCCCUUUUCUUUUCGUCUCGCCCGACCCUUCCUUUUCGUUUCGCCCGACCCUUUCCUUUUUGUUUAGCCCGACCCCUUUGUUUCGGUUCGCCCGACCUGUUUUCUUUUCGUCUCGCCCGACCUUCUUCCCUUCUCGUCGCCGACCCUAUCAGUUCGCUGACCUUUCUCCGCCUCGCCCGAGGGCUCGGCUGUAACUUUUUCUUUGACCCGAGGGUAUCGGUGAAAUAAUUUCGGGGAUUCCUCUGUGUUGAGUCUGGGGACCUCGGUACGGUUUUCCUUAAACUUGAGGGUCAGACCCUAAGUUUUCCCCAACUCGACCCUCUCAUCCUGCUCUCCACCAACAGAAGUUGAACUCCCCCACCUUUCCUGUAGCUUUGCUACAAGUGUCCGUGUUAAAACAUGAGUGUGUUGAAAUAACCAUCUAAAAUGUUUAACCCCUGCAUUGCAUUUCCGUGUAGAGUUGAAUCUCGCCGAUGGAACGUACGAGCUUCACCCGGCACCGGAAGAAGACCCCGCCGCGGAACUGCAUCCCUUCGAAGGAGAGCCCGAACCAGAGCAAGACCCCGAAGACCCGCAAGCUUUUCCUGAAGGCAAGCCCCGGAGCAUAAAUUCCUAUCUUGAGUUCAUGCAAUUUUUGAUUACUUGAUUGCGCAUUUACGUUUCGAGGAGUUGUAAUGGAACCUUAGAUGCAUAAACUUAGUACCUUGUUUUUGAAUACUAGUUGCUAAGGCCGAGUAGUUAUAUUGCUUAAUAGGUUUCGGUAAAAGUCGAGUGAUCUCCUGUCACUCGCGAGUUAUAGGAGUUGAAUGUUUCAGUUAUGUUGCAACUAUAAGGACGACGGACGGGGUCAGGCUUAUGUUCGAUACUUGGUGGAUUGCCCCGUCUGUCUAAAUGAAAAUGAACUAAGGUCAAAACGUGUCGGCGUUCGUGAUCAAGUGUUGGAAAGUACUAAUCUCAUACCUAGUAUAGGAUGGGGAAGCCUAGUACCUGAUUGAACUGGGGCGUGGCAUACCCUCCGGCUGUCCUUGGAACGUCGUUCCCAUGGUGCAUCAUGUGGGUGCAAGUGCGGUCACAGUGCAGCAAUAGGCCGGGAUUGUGGAGCAUUGCAUGCCAAAGGAAGUUGGCCUUAACACGUGCCUAAGGGAUCGAUCGGGACGGCUGACAAAUGAAGCGACCCUUCGUGGUGCGCGGAUGUCGUGAGAUUAGGUUUGCCAUGCAUGGUUAAUAAAUUCGAAUCGAUUCGUCUGCCUCUCACAGUUUGGGACUACUUGAUCGCUAUUCCGCACUGAGUAAAAAAGGAACAUGAAUAUGAGAUUAAGUUGAUGCUUGUUAAGUACUUGCUUGGAAAUCAUGCUUGUUUAGUAUAAGUUGCUAAUCUAGACUGGAUAAAGAACGUAGAACAUGAGCUAAAAUGUUGAAAGUAAGGACUGACUUUAGACGCUUUUGGCAAGAAAACCCCAGAGCCAGAAAGCCUUGCAUGUCUAGGUCUUGGUAGAGUUUUUCACCCUGCGGGUCAGUCUUGCUGAGUACUAGUUGCUCAGCCUUGUUGUGGCUAAUCUUUUUUAGGUAAUGUCAAUAGUUUGGGUGUUGGUACCGCUUGGCCGACCCAGCUUCCCCCAGGCUGGACCGUCGAGUGGGAUCCUUCCUCGGAUGGCGAAGGAAGGAAUUUUUGAUGUCAUGAUCGGCUCCGUCGUGAUGUCAUGUAUCGACGUUUAGUUUCCGCUGUUUUCCUUUUACUUCGACCCAUGCAAAUUUCGGUCUGAAUUUCAAAAACUCUGAUGUAAUAAAUUGUUGAACUAUGUUGUCAUGAUGGAAUGUUGUAACCUCUGUGCUACUCACCUUCGCGUGAGCGAUGCUUCUCGAUCCUGUUUAUGUGGUUUGUCGGAUGAAAUCCGACGGUCGACCAAGUUGACUUGCUUAAAGUGCAUAAUCGCGUGUCAGGCGACUUCAAUGCAUUUUAGUCAGGUUAAUUUGGGCGGUUCCACCACAGUACUACUACAAAGCGGUCCCAAAAACUAGCCCUAUGAGAGAUCAUAUCCAUUGAGCUAGCAACGCCUACGUUCCUCAAGUGGUCCGAGGUGCCAAUCACCUUCUCCUUGAAGCAUCAGUGGACUAGUUUCUCAGACCUGGGAUGCUACCCUCUCGUCCUGGACCUAGUAGUCGCACUUUCUCGACUCAACAAAGUACUCAUCGAUGACAGUAGUGGUCUCAACGUACUUUUCGCCAAAACCUUGAGGAAGAGGAGCCUCGACGUUACGAAUAUGCUCACCCCGACAAACUCUCCGUUCUAUGGGAUCAUCCAAGGCAAUGCGGUCGUACCCCUUGGUCAAGUGGUUUUGCCAGUUACCUUCGGGACCAAAGAACACUACCGAAGAAAGUACAUCCGGUUUAAGGUAGCUGAUUUCGGAACUUCGUAUCACACUAUCCUUUGAAGACCUGCAUUGGCCAAGUUCAUGGCCAUCCCGCAUUAUAUGUACCUAGUACUCAAAAUGCCAGGACCCAAGGGAGUACUUUCCCUGCGCGGAGACUUGAAAAGAUCCUAUGACUGUGACACAGAAGCUGUGGAGUUGGCAGCAACUACUCAAGUGCCAAAUUCCAUGAUGCAAGUCUUCGCCACCUCCAAGAAACUGUCUUCAACAGAACUCGAGAUUCCAGAGAAGAAGUCGGGGACAACCAAGGUCAAGCCGACAAGUGAAGUCGAUAUCAAAUCCAUUAACCUUAAAAUUGGUGAUAGCUCCAAGACAGCCCAGGGUUGGAUCCCAAAUAGGAAGCCGCGCUCGUCAGCUUCCUUCGGGCCAACUGAAACAAACUACUCAAGCGGCAAGAUAAAUUUCAGUGGACCGAGGAGGUAGAUCAAGCCCUUCAACAGUUGAAGGACUUCCUAUCAAAGCCACCAGUUCUCAUGGUGCCUAAUCCCAAUGAAAACUUGCUGCUCUACAUCACCGCGACUAUAAAUAUCGUUAGCACGGCGAUCGUGGUCGAAAGACCAGAACUAGGCCAUGUAUACAAAGUACACAUGCCCAUCUACUUCGUCAGUGAGGUGUUGUCGGAAUCCAAAUCUAGGUACCCGCCAGUUCAAAAGCUGUUAUACGCAAUAUUACUCACCUCGCGGAAACUAUGACACUACUUCUAGGAACACAACAUCUCCGUCGUCACGGACUUCCCCUUGGGAGAAAUUCUCCACAAUCGAGACGCAACAGGAAAAAUCUCGAAGUGGGUAGUAGAACUUGGAGCCUUGUCCCUGGAAUUCAAGUUAAGGACUGCCAUCAAGUCGCAAGCACUAAUCAAUUUCAUGGUAGAGUGCAUGGGAAAACCAAGUACCAACACCGGCAGAACGCCCAGAGCAAUAAAUCAUGUACUUUGAUGGGUCAAUCAAGCUCGAGGACGCCGGUGCAGGAGUACUCUUAAUCUUUCUUAAAGGUGAACAACUCAAAUAUGUCUUGCAAAUCUUUUAAUAGGUGUCCAAUAAUGAAGCUAAUACGAAGCGCUUCUGCAUGAGCUCCGCCUGGUAGUCUCGCUGGGAAUCAAGCGAUUGUUAGUCUACGAUGACUUACUAGUAGUCAUCAAUCAAGUUAACAACGAGUGGGAUCGCCACAAGGACAACAUGGAUGCGUACUGCCUGGAAGUACGUAACCUAGAAAGCAAGUUCUCUAGUUUGGAGUUCCAUCACGUGGCUUGUGAUAACAACAUAGCCGCAGACGUCUUAUCCAAGCUCGGAUCUGCUCGUGCUCAAGUUCCAGCUGGGGUCUUUGUACAUGAACUACACAAGCCAUACAUAGCAGAGCCGGCACCUCCAAAAACCACCGAUCGAGGUCAUGAUGCACAAGACCAGAAGGUUAUCAUGAUUGACGUAGAUUGGAGAACCCCGUUCAUUGACUACAUCAAGGAGCACAAGUUACCUCCAGACAAGUCUAAAGCAGAGCAAGUCUCACGGUGUGGAAAGAACUACAUUUUAGUUGGGGACAAGCUCUACAGACGAGGUGCAUCAUCAGGAGUACUCAUGAAGUGCGUCUCACGGCAAGAUGGCAAGGACAUACUGGAGGAAAUCCAUAAAGGCAUCUAUGGCAACCACACAUCCUCAAGAACGAUCAUUGGCAAGGCUUUCAAAGCAGGAUUCUAUUAGCCUACAGUUCUCGCUGACGUCAAAGAACUAGUCCGCGAUGCCAAGGGUGUCAAUUCUUCGCCAAGCAACAACACGUCCCUACCUACAAGUUGAUAACCAUACCAGUCUCUUGACCCUUCGCAUGCUAGGGGCUAGACAUGAUUGACCCUCUGUCUACGGCGCCUGGGGGUUUCAACCGAGUACUCGUGAUGAUCGACAAGUUCACCAAGUGGAUUGAGGUGAAGCCAGUAACCUGCCCCAAGGCAGACAGAGUACUCAACUUCCUCGAUGAGAUUGUCCAUCGCUACGGCUUCCCCAACUGCAUCAUCACAGACUUGGGUUCGAAUUUCAACAACCACGAGUUCUGGGAGUACUGUGAGAACAGCGGGAUCGACGUCCGGUACAUCUCUAUCGCUCAUCUGCGGGCCAACGGCCAGGUUGAGCACACCAACAGGAUGUUACUGGAAGCUCUCAAGAAAAGACUACACGACAUUGGAAACACCAAAGGGGGCAAGUGGCUCAAGAAGCUACCCAAUGUCCUCUAAGGGCUUCGCACCUAGCCGUGCAAGCUUACAGGGUACUCACCCUAUUUCCUGGUCUAAGGAUCAGAAGUCGUCCUCCUCGUCGACAUUAUGUGGAAAUCUCUAGUAGUCGAGCAGUACGAGGAGGGUGCGGUAGAAGAUACAAGGCGUCUAGACUUAGACAACCUCAAAGAAGCUCGCUGUGCAGCACUUGUCCAGUCAACAAGAUAACUUGAAGGAAUUCGCCACUAUCAUGAUCGCAACGUCAAACAACGUUCGUUCAAUAGAGGUGACAUAAUCCUUAAGCGUAUUCAAGACACUAGGGGGCUGCACAAGGUGAAUUCGCCAUGGGAGGACCCUUUUAUCAUCUCCAAGGUCACGGGACCUAGGUCGUACAGGCUACAAACUCUCUCUGGUGAAGAAGUCAACAACUCGUGGAACAUCGAACACUUAUGUCGAUUCUACCCAUAGUUAAUAUAUUCAUGUAAAUUAGCCAUCGGUCUUAGUUGUAUAAUUACAAUUCAAUAAAGCAAAUUUAUUUUCGUCGUAAAAUGACUACUUCUGCCUAAUUAUGACUUGCAAAAGGUUAGUUUUCUGAGCUAUUCAGCUCCCCGGGUACUAUCACCCAACUCGCGACUUGUAUUUACAAGUCUGCAUAAAAGAUAUUUUCUUAUUAUCCAACUCGUUUAACAAAAUUAUCCAUAUGUGGCUUGUAAUAACAAGUCUGUACACAUAUUUUUCGAGUUAUUCAACUGGUUGGGUAGCAGCAACUUGCAAAAAGCAAACCUGCCCAUAAGAUAGUCAGCUCCUUUGGAUAAGUCUGUUCAUCAACGGAGUUACUCGUACUAUCCGAUUUCUUAUCUAGACUAGUUUGUCUAGCUGUAGCUUAUAAUAAUACAUCUGUAAUCUCAUGCCUUGGAAGCACAGUACUCGAGCAACCCAGAUACGUUGUAAGGGUAGGCUCCACCAGACGAAACCCUACCCCUCGGCUCUCUUCCCCUCGUCACUCCCUCUCUCCCCGCAGAUCCACCCGCACCUGGUCGACUACGGCGACUACGGCGCCAACCCCCAUCCCCGCCCCCUCCGGCGUCCUCCUCCCCUUCCUCCUCGGCGUCGUCGACCCCGGCAUGCUUCUCCUCGCCCACCGCCGCCACCCGCAAUGGGACAUUGGCUUCCGCAUUGACCUCGGCUAGUCCGCGAGGGACGACAAGGACCAGGUUGCCAGCCCCAGCUCAUGGUCGCGCUGCCCCCGCCCCACGACGCCGUCUCCGUCGACUUGACCCCGAUGGACGGCGGGGAGGAAGUGGUGCGGAUCGAGAUGCGGGUGGUUCGGAGGCGAGAGGCACUGCGGUCGGUGCGCGUGUCGCGCACCCCCGGGUCCGUGCUGGGGAGGGCGACGGCGGCCGCGCCCGCGCCCGCGCCAGCCGUGGACAGACCUACCGCCGCCGGUGAUUCCGUUUUUCUCUCCCUAGCUUCCACCGACGACCUCUUCCUCAUGGAGAAGUAGGCGGCCGGGGACGUCCUGGUGGUCGCCAUCAUGAGCGCCGCGGGGCCCAUCCUUCCUACCUACGUCCGCAUUGGUUGGUCCAACGGCUGGCCGAGAUGCAGUCUCGGCAGGGCUGAUGGUAUUGGUUGCAAUCACAGUUUCUUUGUAAUUACCAUUCUUAGCAGUCGGAUUUGAUCACGGUGUCUAUUAUUGGUUGCCUUGUGGUCAUAUGUGAAUCUGUUAUAUCUGAGAAUGACAAUUGCAAUUUUGCCUGCACAUUCUAAUGCGGAUGUUUCAAGCUCAGCUAUCAGUGAAUUUGUAGAUUUCCAUAACUUGAGUAACGUAGAAAGUGCAUCCUGCAUACAAAUAGAGUAUAUGUAUCUGACUUGCCAUGGAUCCAUAUACUUCCAUAGCCCUGCAGAGCUUGUGUGUGUCCAUUACCAUUGACCUGCAGACUGUCUCUAUAUAUGUGAAGUGUAGUAUCAUGGCCUGAAUUUUGAUGUGAAAAUCGCGUUGUGUCCUUGAACUUGUGUCCUUUUCUGUCUGAAACUUUGGAUGCUGCUGAACUUAGACUCAACAUGUGUAAUGUAUUUUCUGUCCACUUGGGUUCUUUCUUCCUUCUGUGAUUGGAAGUGCUGCUUGAAUACCUGCUGCCUUUAACAUUGAAUACCUUCUGCCCUGAAUUGCAUCAUUGAAUAUUGUGUGAUUGCUCAUUUGCAGGAAGCCGCUGCCUUGCAUAGGCCCCAAACAGUCCGACCACAAGCAAACCCUGGACAUUCAUGUUAAAUUAGCACUUGUGUACUUGAGGUACUGAAAUGUCUGAUUUCUCGACCACUACAAAUUAGUACAUGUGUAGCCGACCACUACAAAUUAGUACAUGCGUAAUCGACCACUACAAAUGUACAAUUUGUUGCCAGUCUACUUGUACAGAUGUUUUGCUCCUGCCAAAUGUUACUUUAUCUAAAUUGACGCUUUUCUUUUCCACUGUUUUCGUUGUGUUCUCAGAUUUGAUAUAGUUAUAUUACUCUGUUCAACAUGCAUUUGAGUAGAUGUUGGCAGAUGUCAUGGACGGCUAUAUUUGUUUUCCAUAUGCAUGCUUUAGAGAAGAUUUCACAAUUAAAGUUUAUUGUCAGAGUCCUUUGUCAUUUUACAGUUCAGUAGUGAGCCGUUCAGUCUAUCAGUUAGCUUCAGGCUGAUUUGGACUGGGUCACUUGUUCUCCAGAUCGUGUCUCCCAUCAUUCUAAAUACAACUAUGCACUAACGAAUACAUUGAUGUCUAAUGUCUUGAAUGCUCUUCACCUUGUCAUUUUCUGUUGAUUGAAUUGCUACCUACACAUAUCAAUCUGUCUAUCAUUUCCAUAAAAAAAUUAUUCUGUUUAAAGCAUUGCCCAGGUCAGUAUAAAGCAUUAUGUUUAAAGCAUUGUUGAGACCUAAUUAAUUUCAAGCUGCUAGAGUUUGGUGUUUAGCCUAAUACAGUCAUACUUCACACUUGAAAUUGUUUCUAAAUUCAGUGACCAUGGUGAAUUCUUACCCUGGUUUCAAAUGAUGGGAUUUUUCUGGUCUCGUCGAUUACUUUCUUACCCUGGUUGCUUUCUAGGUGCUUUGUUAUCCUAGCUGACAACACUUAAACUUUAUUUUUGAAGGUUUAAUUUUACUCUGUAUAAUCAAGGUGCACUUUGAUUGCCACUCUUACAAGUUUCUUAUAGCUCUGAUUCUGAAAUGUGUUCAAGUGAAACAUAUUUGUAGCAUUACACAUGUUUGUCAUAAGAAUGCUAUUACAACAUAGAGAAAUAUUUUGUUUUGUGUGAUUUGGACUGAUUUUGCUUCCUAGAAUUGAUAGGUGUGAUGGCUCGAGGGAUGUUUUCAGGAUAAUUAUAAUUACCAAAAUAUUGUGUUGAAUGUUUAUGAUGCAAGCAUUGUAGUACUUUCAAUUGCAAAUACUGAUAAUAUUUUCUGACGUGUGCUUUUCAGGUUGAGGACUAGAUGCAGCAAGGAACAAUCAGUUAGAAGAGAUUGGUUGAGGAUAAGAUGCUAGACAGAAACAAGCAGAAGGAAGAAGAGAUUUUUGUUGAUCAUAGCUUCUUUUUGGUACCUUUCUAAUUCAUAAUGAAAUGUAUAUGGUCUCUUGUUUGGUGUGCUUUGUAGCAAUGUUCUAGCGUUCUCUGUGUGUCUGGUAGCUCAAAAGAGAUUUUGCUGCCUAUUUUCAUUUUAGAAUAUUUUAAUAUAUAUUUACUUUGGGCUGUUAAUGGUUUGGGCCAUACGAUCUGUUAAAAUGGGCUAGAAUUGGAUGGCCUGUAAAUUUAUGGGCCACACAAAGAUUCAGCAUAUUGGGUUGUUCCUAAAAAUGGACCACGUGAAAAAAAAAAUCUAACAUGGGCUAAGCCCAUAAAUAAAUGGGCCUGCAACUACGUUGGCAACCAUGUCAGCAGCCACGUUAGCAGUCACAUCGCAUUGAUUUACCUAGUAGUGAUGUGGCCAUUCAAUCCGUGAUGAUUAUUUUCGUCACUAAUUUUGGGCUUGGAAUCCGUGAUGAUUAUUUUCGUCACUAAUUUUGGGCUUGGUUGGGUUGCGCGGGCUCAAGGUUAGUUUAUGAUGGUAUAGAAACAUCACAGAUUGAGUCAAUCUAUGAUGAUUUUGUAGAAAUGCCACACAUGUUAAUCUGUGACGCUCAAUUCAUGACGUUAUGAAAAAUCGUCGCAGAUGUUGUUUUAUGAUGAUUUUUUGAUGAUCUGUGAUGAAAUUUGUCUGUCAUAGAUUACAGGAUUUCUUGUAGUGUUAUUUGAGGUAUGGUACCGCUAUUUAUGUUCAUGAACAACUUAGAUGCUAUAGCCUCAUUUAGCUCCGCUAUUAGCUAUUUUAGAGUGCUGCCUCUAAACCUUUUAGCCCACUAUUUAAAAUAUUGGUUGAAACUAUAUUUUGCUAGGACCUUCAUAUACUGUAUUUUGGUAAAGAUCAUCGCUAUUUUUAAAAAAUAUAUUCAAUCGGUUGAGUUUAUGCACAAUGGAUGCCUAUUUGCAAUAGAAUUAAAUAAGUGCGUGGGUAUUUACAAUAAAAUGAUUUACGAGGGCUAAUGUUAAACUUGAAGUAGCUUACGUGAAUGUUUAUGUAAUUUUAUCAAAGUGAUUGGACCUGCGCUUCUGACUUGUUUUGUGGAACCCCAACGGUUUUACGGCCACAGUCGGUCUGCACGGUUUCCACCCAGUCCCUGUGCAUUUUUAACACGCGGCUCGUAGGAUCCGUUCGGUACCACUAGGGAGCGUUGUGGAGGGGAACGUAGUAGUACAUGCCAGCUAUCAGGCGCACGGCCCUCGGAGUCGGACCUGACCAUCGGUCGGGCACGGCAGCCAUGGCAGCCUCACCGUACCGUACAUGCUCCUCCUCCUCCACCCACAGGCUCGCUCUGCAGGGGGACCCCGCGCGGCGGAUGAGCUCAUGAUCAAGAGCACCCGAGCGCGCGCGGUCCCCGGCGCCCGCCCCCGCGGCCAACCACGAGUCGACAGGGGCAGCGAUGCGACCCGUACGCACGUACGUGGCCGGCUGGCCGGCGGCCUCUGCCAUUAGCUCUCACUCCCUGGUCCGGCUCCGAGCCGAGUACCACGGCUCCACUGCGGGAACGCGCGGCGGGCAGCCGGGCACACCCGUCGUCGCGCGAUCGGGGCGAUGGGAUCACGCUGCGCCAACUUAUAGUACGGGCGUCGUGGUCCGGCCGGCCUGGCGCGCGCACCGGCCGGCGGGCAGUGGUCAGGCCCCCUCUGGCGCACGGCAACUCUGCUCCCGCCGGCCGGCCACCAGGCUCGCGCUCGCGCUCGCGCCUGGGUGCACGCACGGACGGCCUUGCAACCUUCGGUGCCCGGCGCGUGCCACCACCUCUUACGCUAGCUGAUUCUGAAAAAGUAGUACCAAUCCAUGAGAAAGGUCGUAGUGCCUGCGUGCGUGCCAGCAGCAUCAAGCUACCAACCAGACACAAAUUUUGUGCUACAAAGUGCCUCAGGAAUUCCAUUCAAGCUCCGUUUGGAUGUCGACAUGCUUCCAUACCAAAUUAGCCCUGGUAUUCAAAUAGGCACAAUUCAAAUUCUACUGUCUGCAUGACCAUUGCAUUGACUUAUGGAAUCUUAUGAACCAUUAGCUCGCCGCUCGGUGAGAAAGAGAAGGGGACGUUGCUGCCCUCGCCGUCCUCGAUGUCGGCUCACCUCCCUGAGCAGAAGAAGGUAGGGGAAGAGACGGCGCGGCUCGUCAGCGGAGGGAGGCAUGGGCCGGCGCGACGUGCUGGCGGAGGGAGGACGGGGUGGCAGGCCUCACCAACGGAAGAAGAACGUGGACGGUGGGGCUCGCCGGCGGAGGAAGGACGAGGUGGUGCGUGGCUCACCGAUGGAGAAAGGAUGGGGUGACGUGGCAAGACGAUGGAGCGCGGUGCGGCACGGUAUCGCGUAGAAGGGGAUUGGAAGGGACGCGCGAGCGGAUGAUUCCCUCCAAUACGAAGGGGGUUGGCUCGGUAUCGGGAGCGAGGGGUUGAUGGGGUGAUGAAUGCCGGUUGGUAUUGAGGUUAGUUUCCAAUUCUGAAUUUCAGGCUAUCCAAAUAUCAAUUCCGAAUUCUGAGGUCGAAUAUCUAUAUCCAAACAUAGUGUCAGAUUUGACUAUUUGAGCAGCAGAGCAUGCUAUAAUCUAUCGUUACCUUGAAUUUGAACUUGAAUAAACAUCUCCCACAACACAUGAUGUACGUGAAUAUUUGUGUGAAGUGUAUAUAAAUGGAUUGGGUAUACAAUAAUUUUACCUACCUUUAAAUUUACAUGUUGAACAACAAUUCUCACCUCGUUCCCACCCUAACAUCAACUCUCACCUCACCUCCAUGCCAUAACGGUGAGGGUGGAAGAGCUAGCGCUCAAGAGCAGAUGAAAGCUACAUUGUACUAAGCAUGGAUUUGUAUUUUGCUUGGCCGAAAGAUGCAAACAAUUCUGCAAUCUCUGGCCUCCUCGUCGUUCUCGACCUUGUCACGUGGUACCACUGAGAAGGAACCGGCCGGCCAUUUCCAGAAUCACAACGGCUCCACCCUUCAUGCAGGAGCAGGACGCCACGGAGCAAGCGACGACGCAGUUGGCUGUUUUCCAUGUAAGGAAUCUCUCUGCUUGCUCCGGCGGGCGGCGGGCCUGACCUCGAAGGACGUGGUUUGGCUUGUGCUGCGCUCCUGCAUCUGCAAUUCUGCAUGCGUUAAUGUUACUCCUUUCCAAGCCAAGCACAGUGACACGAUGAGUCGAUGACUUUUCUCGUGCUGUACAGUGGUAACUGGUAAGCCCUGCCCAGGCUCCUCGUCCACGAGUGUCGUCCUGCACACACGCCGGAGACGAUCACUAUUCGCUGCACAAGUGUGGGGUGCCGUGGACUGCUCGUCAGAUGUCCUGAAUUCCCCUGCUGUUGUGUCUGAACGCCUGUAAAUUGAAACAUCGUCUGCUCACUCCAUUUUAAAUUAUAUACCAUGCAAGACACAAUCUUGUUUGACCAAAAAAAUAAAGGCACAAUCUUGUUACCGCGGGAAGGAUACGUGUUAUUCUACUGGAUUUUGAAAUUAGACUUAUUUCAUGAAUCCUGGUAAAUUUACAGUGGUUGCCGGCAGUCAUGAUGAGUGGACUAAAAAGACACUGGUACUGGUACAUGUACUCCAUAAAUCUAGCUAGCAAGCAUUAAACGUACCAUGUAAUUACUAUGCCUGUGUUAUUCCAUACGUAGAUUUACUCCCUCUGUUAUAAAUUACUAUUCGUUUUAGUUUUUCUAAACACAUAGUUUUUAUUCCGUAUCUAAACAUACAUACAUCUAGUUCCAUAGUAAAAACUAUGUAUCUUGAAAAGUCAAAACGAAUACUCCCUCUGUCUGUAAUACAGCCCGUUUAGAUUUUUUCAAAGUCAAACUUUUUCAACUUUGACCGUAAAUAGCGAAAUAAUCAUAGAGACUACUAACAUAAAAAUGAUAAUAGUAGAUUUAUCAUGAAACCAACUAUCACAAUAUAAUAUGUAAUCUUCUCAAUUUAAAAUAAAUUAUUUUUAAAAUAUUGUUGAUCAAAAUUAAAAGAAUUUGAUUUAAAAAAAUUAAAUGUAACUAUAUUCUAAUACGGAGAGAGUAGUAAUUUGGGAUGGAGGAAGUACAAGAUAGCUCUAGCGUGAUCGAACCAAUGCAAGACGUAACCUUAUGCAUUUUCUUUGAUUACUUGUGCCCAUAUGAAUGAAAGAUGAUGUAACGUAGGAAUACCCACCAUGGGGCAUGUAAGGCCUACAGUUAUCCCAAACUUCCAACUUUGGCACUAUGCAAAAAGAAGAUUUCUCAUCACAUCAAACUUGCGGUACAUGUAUGGAGUACUAAAUGUAGAUGAAAUCAAAAACUAAUUGCAUAGUUUUGUUGUACUUUGCGAGACGAAUCUUUUGAGCCUAAUUAGUCAAUGUUUGGACAAUAAUUCACAACUACAAACGAAAUGCUACACUUGCGCAUUUAUGACAAAAUCCAACUUUGACAAUCCCAAAUUGGGAACUAAACAAGGUCUAAAAGGAGAAGAACCGACAAGAUCUGACAGCUCAGCACUACAUCACAGUUCUAAUAGACAUCACUUAAAAAAUGUACUCUCUUCGUCCCGAUAUAAGGAUUUGAACAGUAAAUAGUAAUAGGGGUGUUUGUUCUUUAGUCCCUCCUAAAAUUCCUAUCUUUGAUACUAAUUAGAAGUAUUAAACAUAGAUUAAUUACAAAAUUAAUUGCACAGAUGAAGACUAAUUUGUGAGAUGAAUCUAUUAAGCCUAAUUAGUCCAUGAUUUGACAAUGUGAUGCUACAGUAAACAUGUGCUAAUGAUAGAUUAGUUAGGUUUAAUAGAUUCGUCUCGUGAAUUAGCCUCCAUCUGUGUAAUUAGUUUUAUAAUUAGCUCAUGUUUAGUCCUCCUAAUUAGCCUUCGAAUAUUCUGACAUGAAUUUUAGUCCGGACUAAAGAUCCAAAAUACCCCAAAGUAUUGAUAGGAAAUGGCAUUAUUGUACCUGUCUAAGGAAAAUAGAGAGUCCAAAGCGCUUCAGCAGUUCACUCAUAUCCCUUCGGUGCUUUAAAUAUUUUUUUUACAAAUAGAACCCACAUGUACUCAUGCAUACGCUGGACUGAUGAUCACUUCAUGCGUUUAAUUUGGGAUAUUUUUGAGCCUUAGAAAUGCAGUCAAAUGCAGUUCCCGAAUAUUAAAAGAAUAUUUAAGUUUUGCCACAUUUCGACUGUAUCAAGAAACCACAUGAACCUUAGAAAAUGUAAUGUCCAAGGAGAUAUCGACAGAUAGUGCUAUAUGCAAAACGGCCAGGUUAAAAAGAAAAUCUAUAGAGUAUAUUUAUAAUUAGAGAUGACAAAUACUUUGAAAUGUAAUGGUCAAAUAAUGUAUUGACUGAUAGUGCUAUAUCCAAAGGGCCAGGUAGAAAAGGAAAUGGAUAGAGUAUAUUAUAAUUUUAUGUUACUCCCCUUCCGUUUCAAAAAAAAAAAUGUUACUCCCCUUCACUUACAAAUAAAUUAAAUUAAGCAAUGUUUAGAUAUCAAUGCGGCCUCUAAAUAAAACAUAUUUACCAUUGCUUUUGGCAAAACAUAUUUAUAAAGGAAAAAGUAGUAUAUUAUUACAAUGUUACAAUUAGUGACACAUAAUAAAGUAAUUUAUAACCAGACUUUACAAUAAUUAACUUAAAAGAUAAAUAUAAAAUGAGAAAAAAAGCUGUGUGACCGGAGCACUAUAUAUAUCCCUUCUAGUGCCAAAUAAAUCUAGCAUAAGCCUUCUCUUUCCAUUCCAUUUAAUCUAACAUGUCAAAAGCUAUCGUUGUUAGUCAAAGAUGAGAUUUGACAGAAACGAAGAAAGGUAAGUUUUAAAAUGCCCUUCCGACCUAUGGCGACGAGUUGCGGCACGGACCGAAUUGAACGACAUGGCCGAGGCCGACGUGCCGCAAGAAACGCAGAUCGAUACCGCAAGCGGCGGCAGGCAAACCAACGGCCGAAACGUCAUCGGCCCAGGCCGAGAGGACGAUGCCCCUGCCCCCCUCGCCGUCCUUGGAGCACUGCCUGCUUUCUGCGCCCGGGGGGAUGGAUCAAUGGAUGGAUGGGCUUGUUACUGCUCCCCUGGCAACCUGAUUAGCACGCCGUCACUGCAUUAGCACUGCUCCAAGCUCUCGCUGAUCCUGAUCACUGCUCUCGGCGUGCUUAAUAAAUAAAAUAAUCCCGGAGCGGCCUCACUCCCCUCAAGCUCAGCUGCGGAGCUGCUCAGCUUAGCUUAAGCGAGCCCAGGUAGAACUAGUACAAGGCCCCGUCCCAUCUACCAGGCCGUCGUCACCCACCCUCCACUCUCUUGGUUCUUCCUCCUCCUGCUCCAACUACGGCCGCCGCCGAUGCUCACCGGAUCCAAGAAGAACGGCCGACCGAUCGAUCGACUCGCCUCCCUGCCAAUUGCUUGCUCCUCCGUGCAUGUGCCUUCUGCAUCUGUUGUCAUCUGGUUGUUACAGGAGAAGACACAGGCGUGAGUGAGAUUAAGAGGCCCUGAAGAGAUUGACAGAAGAGAGCGAGCACCCGGCGCGGCGGCCGGCAUGGAGCGCAUGCCGUCCCCGCCGCGUGCUCGCUCCUCUUUCUGUCAGCCUCUCUCUCGUCCUGACCGGGCCGAGGCUCCCUCUGAUCUGGGCCGCCAUGCCACGCCACGCUGGCGAGGAGGCGACAGAAGAAUUGGGGCGCGGUGGAUGGAUCGGGAACCGUGCCGCCACGCAGAGAUGGAUGGGGGCGACACGCAUGCUGCGCGAGGACGACGGCUUUCGCAGGCUGCGCCAGGCGGCAAGGACAUGUCACUUCAAUUAUCUUCUAGAGAUACGCAUGGAUUUCGAGUAUUUUUUGCUCUCGAUUUGAUCCCUUUCGGUCAGGCUGCUGUCGCGGGGCUACUACCGAGGAAGAGGAUGAGGAUGCUCCUGCUGAUGCUGCUGAUACCGAUGGCACGGCCACGGCGCGGAGAUGGGUUCAAAGAGUACUUUGCUUCCAUGCCUCGCACUGCUCGCAGGCGGCGAGCUUGUUCGUGGUGGGUUUUGCAGUACACUGAAAAAUGAUUGGUAGUUUCGCCGUCUGAUUUUCUGAGGAUUUUCCUUCUCUCUCCCACUCUCCAGACUUGCUGCCUGCCUUGGGAGCUGAAUCGGGGAUGCUGACAGUACACUGCGGCACUGUAAGGAUUUAACAGAACAAAGACUACUGCAAAACUGCAUCGUCUCUCCCUCUCUCUCCCUUCCCUUUCCCAUGGUGCAGCUAGAGCUAGCUCAUCUUCUCUCAUGGGCACUGUAGCCAUUAUUCAUGCGCUGUCUCUUCUCUUUCUUUGCUGAGGCUGCUCUUGUUGUCCUGGAGUUCUUGGGGUCCUCCUGCGGCCAUGGCGAUGCAGGUGGCUCAUGGCUGUGCACCUGUGCUGCUGCUGAGCUCCUGUGUUGGUUCAAAAAUGGGGCAUGGAGGGUACCAUGUGAUGAUCCAUAUUUGGCAAAGACCGUGGACUCUCACAUUGCUUUUUGCCAGAUCUGGUUUGCAUCAAGGUACGUUCUUGUAUCUCUCUCACACACAAGUCACGCAUUUGGCCUUUCAUGGUUUUUGGCUGGCCCCCUUCUUCAUUCUUCAUGAUUUUUCAUCUCCUCUUUCUACUCUAUCAUCAUAUCCUCGUCUCCCUUCCUGAUCUCUUGGAGACACGCAGGGAGAGAAUGGAGACCACGCUGCUGGUCUUUACAGGGUUGCUGGUGAAGAUGGUUGGUAAGAACCACUUCACUUUUGUUUCAUUGGUUUCAUGGCUUCAGGGUGGACUGCUUUAUCAUGCAUUAUCUAGUGGUCCUCCAUAGGACUGUAUGAGUGACCCAUUUGCUGUUGCUGUUUUCUUUCCUUUCGUUCUUUCAGGAUGUGGGCGUCAUGAAUUCAUGGGCAACACAAUUUGCAAUUUUUUCUUAUGACCAAGGUAUGUACAGACCUUUUUCUUAUGACCAAUGUGCAUCCACCAUGUUGAAUUUGGAUGCACAUUUAUGGGUUCUAUUGAUAUUGGAUCUUUCAAAGUUUUGAUAUGUUCCAAUGUUUCGUUUAAAAGUUUAUGUGCUACUGUGAAAACUAGCUAGGAGUUGAUUUGUUGGAAAUUUGGAAUGCAAAGACCAUUUCAUGAGAUAAGAGCCCACAUUUUCUUUGCAUCCCUUGCUGAGUACACAAACUGGAUGGGCUGGGUUAGAAGUUACUGUCAUCUCAGGGAACCUGUUAAGUCAAAACGAGGUGUAUGGUUUUUUAGUUGUGUUAUUAGUUAACCAUAUCUUAAGAAAUCAAGAUGAUGGGAGCAUGUAAUCAAGGUUAAGUGACGAUAACUUAAUCUUUGUCCUAGCUAGUGGAGCACCUUUUUGUAUUGCCUUUCUCCACUCCAAGAGAGAGGAUACGUCGUAUAUGCAGAGAAUGAACCAUCAUAUGAGUUACAUCUUAAUUGAAGUGUGCAGCAGUUUGUUUGCGAUUGCAAGUGUGUGGAAUUGGUUUGGAUAGAUGAUUAAAAAUUGAAAGUUAGACCAUGCAAGCUCAUUUAUAGUUUUAUGUUUUUUUUUUUGUCGUAGCAUGCCGGUGUUGAUUUAAGCCAAGCCAUUUAUUUAACCUCAGAUAAGAAAGAAAGGCAGACUUCUUCUGAUGAGAGAAAAAAAAACAUGGAGAGGAAAAACUGUCAUGUAACCAUACAUGCACUCUUAGUUUCUUAUUUUUGAAAGAAAUGUUCUCUUUAAUUACUCUCUUUGUAAUAUUUUUCUAUUAUUUUUUUAAAUUUUGUCUGUGUGUAGUGUAUACUAUGAUGCUGCUUGCUAUGCAUGCAUGUUUUCUACAUUGAACCCAGCAACAUAUGAUGAACCAAUACCACCGUAUGUAAGCAUACAGUUGCACACCUGUCUAAAAUUUACCGACUAUGGUUGCACAAAUAAAAUGCUUCUGUUCAUCUUGGUUUUCUUGCUGUUCUGUUAGCUUACUUACUGACUGCACCGGCCGGCCCAAAUACAUAUAUAGUUGAAAAGACGAUAUCUCAGAUUAAAAUUUGUGAUAUAGUAUGGUAUCUAUGCUCUACAUAUGUAACCUCACUUAAAAAUACCAUGGUGAGUGUGCAAAUAUGAGUCGCAAUAGAUUUAUAUGGGGGGUAAGGUGUAUUUUCCUUUACUUGAAUGGCUGACUUGCUUUACUAGUUAAUAAAAUAUAUAGAAACAUCACACUGAUUACAUUAUUGUUACUUUGUAGCGACUCGUGUAUCGUUGAACUGAAUUUGACUGUUGAAUUGGAUGCACCAUCUAGCAAGUGCAUUCCUUCAAUUUUCAAGCAUGUAUCCGAAUUGUAUACGAUAGAUCAUGGCUAGGAAUCCUAGCUACAAAGAUUCUCAUGAGUUGGAAAGGGGAACUCCGGUGAGGAGUAGGUCAAACUAGUAAUUUAUAUUUGAGGGCCUUUGGACAAAAAUGUGAUGCUUCCUCCUAGAAGGGUGCUUUAUAUUUAUAAGUAAGUGGUUAUUGAAAUUAAAUCAUUGCUUUAGGUGGGACAACCAUAUGAGGAGUAUGUCAUGAUUGUUAUCUCUAGGUUUGAUUGCAAUGAAAAUCCUCUAGCAUUGAUGUAUUUAACUGGUUGAAGUUGGGUCUCACCUCUCUCGUGAUUAAUCCGGUGAAGAAAUCAAAAAAACUCAUUGCACGUUCCAUAAGGUGUUUAAAAUAGGAUUUCUAAAACUAAGUUGAUCAGCCCAUAUAGAAAGCAUGUCCAAUUUAUUUCUAAAUGUGCUCUAGGGUUUUCUAGGUUUCUGCUCUAUGGGAAGAUUCAUUUUUUACUAGGAACCAGACAUCAAUUCCAAUUCUAAGAGAGGCAAAUUGCAAUGUUGAAAGUGAAUUAAAUGAAUAUGUCAUAUAAAAGGGUGUACGGAGAUGCAAACUUGACUAAUCAACUUUUUCCCAAGGUAUUAGAGGGUCACCGCUCUUUAUUCGUGGAUCAUCUAUGAGCAAAAGCUUUUGCAAGAUCAAUGAUAUCGACUAGAGGGGGGUGAAUAGGCGAGUUUUCAACUAAAAUCACAACACUAAAUAGUUGCAGUUAGUAUCAAAAAAUAAAUUUACUAAUGCUUCACUAGAUAAGCUAGGUGAAGGUUUUUGCUACCUAGGGUGUCAAGAUACAAUUCAAUCUCUAGGAAUGUAAAUUGCUCUGAGUAAAUUGCAUAAAUGUAAAUUUGAGCUCAAGGAGAAACGAAACAUGAGAGACAAAUUUUAUCCCAUGGUAUCGAGUGAUUUAAAGGUCACCCCUAGUCCAUGCUGAGGUGGAUUCAAUGCAAGGUAGCAAAUCGCGGGCUAUCGUAUUUAGUGGUGUCCAUCUCUAGCUGCUAUGGCAGCUAUAGCGCCGGUAAGCAAUUUAGCGCUUCAAUUAAACCUGCAGCUUACAGCACAAAACAUCCUCUACUGUGUGGGACCCACCUGCCACUACCCAUCCUUAUCUUACCUACCUCCUCCUUCAGCUAGCUCGGUCCUCUGUGUAGCCGCUAAUGCUGCUUGUACCACCAAUGGGUCACCAUCUACCCGCGCUUGGGUGACUCUAAGCUCGAAGGCAACCCUCGUGCCGGGAUUGUGGCUGUAGCUCGUCUCCCCAGUUGGAGCUCGCUAUGGGAGCGCACCAGGAGCUUGCCGCUCCACCUACCUCGAACAACGCCGAGCAUCGUCGCCUUGAGCACUGCCGUCGGCACCCGUGCUCACCACUCCCUGCCUCUCCUCAUAGCAAGCUGCCUUUGCUUACCUCCCCUUCCAUUUGAGCACUGAAGCAUAAUUUGGGCCUGCUCGAUGAGUAGAACAAAAUGGCGGGGCUAAAAUCCUAUCGCCGCUACAGCAAUUAGCGUCGCUAAAUCCCGCUAAAGCGCACAUAGCUGCGAUAGCGGAAGAAUAUGCCAUUGUGUAGCGGGGGUGGCCUCCAGAAGCUAUAGCUAUAGCCCUCUAUUUUCUACAUUGAUUCAAUGUGCCAACAGCUUGUUUGUAUGUCACCGUUUAAUCUUGAGCUAGCUUUAGAGCCUUUCCAUGCCACACGUCCACUAGGGUUUCUCACCACUCUGGUGAGGUGAGUACUACACCUCUCACAAGCACAAGGACUCCAAGUCAUCUAGAUGGUAGCAACCUCAAAGAGUGACAAGCUAAUGAUGCUUGCAUUUCUUGAAGUCUCAUUAAUACUACAAAACUCAAAACCCUUGAUGCAAUGCACCAGGAUGUUCUCACUCUCACAAGAAUAAUACAAUAUCUAAGCAAACUAUGGGUAAGGAGGAAGACCAAAGGCUCAAGUAUGUCAAGAAGCUUUUCAAGUGGCCAAGGGGCAUCCCACAUGCAUGGUGGGGAGGUCUGUAUAGAGCUCCCCUUGGAUUCUAGCCGUUAUAGUGACAAACUCGUGAACAUAGCGUUUUCUUGGUCUAACUACAGCUUAUUCUAAAUGUUGAAGCGCAUACUUUGUUUAACCGCCACCUCUAGUGGUUUAACCACCGUUCAUUGUUCAAGUCGAUGUUGUCGGUUUACCCACUACCGUGGCCGUGGUUUAACCGCCAUUGCCGCCAAUUAAACUGCAUCACAAAGUCGACACUCACUAGAACCUCUAAACGUCUUUGAGUUGAGGCAAGUUAAGUUGCGCCUAUGGUCGGUUUUAAUCGCCACAUGUAUUUUUGUCAUCAUAUUCAGUGUUUACUCAUCAUCUCUCUUGAACUAAUAAGUUAUACCUUGCUCCCUCCGUCUUGAAAUACAAGGCAUACUAGAGAUUUUAGGACAUUAGUAGGAGUAGCAAAAGAUGCAUGUACCCCUGAGUUAAUGGUAGUUGCAAAUAACAAGAAACUUAUUUUUAAGUAAUAAUCCACAAAUCAGUCGCCCUUAUCUUAUUAAUUAUAGAAAGAAUUAAAUGUCAAUCAUCCAAAUGUGCCUACAAUGCCUUGUAUUUGAGGACAAAUUUUGAACGCUUGGAUGCCUUAUAUUACAGGACGGAGGGAGUAUAUAUACAAUGCAAGUUUGAAGAAAGUAGGAACUAUAGAAUCAUAAAUGAAUGAACACCAAUCCCCUAUUAAUAUUACCGAUCAUUCCUCAUCCUCUAAUUAUCUCAUGACAUAUAAAACUAAAAGCUGUAUAUACCUUUGCCUUGAGCUCAUGUACGGUAUUAAAAGUCGUACAUCAAGUUUUCAUCCUUGUAGCUCAAAUUUAGUCUCCGGGACUAACCUAUCUGUCAGUGUUUUAUACCCGGCAACCUACCGAGGGGUAUCCCGACCCGAGGUAGUAGAUUGGUUGGUGGGGGAUCGCCGGACCUGGAACUCGAUGGUAAAAACGAGGACACAAAACAUAGAUUUAUACAAGUUCGGGCCGUCAGAGUAGCGUAAUACCCUACAUCCUGUUUGGGGUGUUGUAUAUUGCGCCCUGCGCUUGGGUGUUGUUUGGUGUUGAGGAUUUGAUCCUCUGUUUUGGUUCUAUGAGGUCUUCGCCUACCAAUCUAGGGACCUCUGCGUUCCUUUAUAUACUCCAUGGGGUGGGAUUACUAGUCAGUUAGAAGGAGGAGUCCCAGUAGGAUUACAGGAGAAUCCUAGGAGAGUCUGUCUUCUUCCUUCCUUGCGGGGACCAGGGAUCUAUCCCCGACACUAUUUCAAUUCUUAAAUAGAAUUGUUUGUCCACAUAAAGAAUUGUCAUUAAUACCAAGAAACCAAAUUAGGAGCCUAGGCACUUCAACUUAUUUUUCCGACCAUAUGCCACUCAACUCACUCUAGAAAUCUACUCCAAACUACUCAUAAAAUGGCUUUGCAGAUGCUUUAUAAUCUGCUUUGGUGGAUCACAAGAUCAACGCUGAUAAGCCAUCCAUGUUUUGCCGAGUAACAAAGAGUAACUCAGUUUGUCUAGCUGGCUGAUCACCUUUGUUGGAUGUGAAUUAACACUAAUCAAUUCUUAAUCUUUUACUAACUACCUUGGCCUUCGAUUAUCUCUACUUGGGUGGCAAGAGCUCUCAAAUAUAUGUAGGAGAUUCCCUCUAGCCCCAACAACCUUCAAAUGAUCGGAUGUCAGGGUAUAUAUCUUCUCUGUACCAUAUCAUUACGUUGCCCACCAGAACAUUGGUGAACCUCGACCCUUUCUAAGGGUCAUAAAUUCAACUAUUUGGGCCUAUAAUAAAGAACCUCACUGUACUAUAUCUAGGUUUCCAGCUGCAUCGUUGCCACUCUUAGAUGUGCUUUGGUUAGAUUGCUAAUGCACUGUACCAUCCUACCAUAUGAUAUGGUGACUUGAGCUAGUAAGGAACCUAACUUGCAAACUUUCUCUUUCUAGUCAAAUGAUGCUCCUAUGUAUAACACGGUUACCCUACAUAUGAUCUGGUGGCCCUAAAAAAUUGUCUAUGCCUUCAAUCUACUUGCAUUUUAUCAUAACCUGUUACGUUGUGUGCUUAUCCAUACAGUGUCAUAUGCUUGAAUUUUCUUUCAUUCUAGGACUAAUUCCUCCAUCCAUCACACAUGCAUGAACUGUCGGUCACUCUUGUAGAAUCAAUGUCCUUUUCCACUUACAUUUUCUGGAGAUCUCUAUGUUCAUAUACAUUCUUGAAGACCAUUUGCAUGUUAAAGUGUAUUAUCGAUUUCGUGGCAAUUUCACCUUACUGGACGUUUUCUGUUCAAGACAGUUGUUCUUGACUCUUUAUUUGCACAUAUACACGAAUAUACAUCUUCAACCACAGGCAGACUUGUUCUUGCAUCAUUUCAAAAUUGUGGCCAAUUUUCCUAGGACAUUGCAGGAUUACAUCAUGAAUCUUGAAAUGGGUCAUUUGUUCUGGGGUUCCUUUGUGCAAUUUUUCUCAUAUUAUUCACAUUUCACUAUCAAAUUUUGAGAAAAAAAAAAUAGAGGAACAUUUUCCUACUUUUUCAUGAAUCUGAAACCAUUGCACAUUUUUUUAAAAAAAACAUUGAACAAAUGUCAUUAUGCAUAUAUGCUCAUACUUACAUUACAUACUUACGCACAUGUUUAUGUGAAUUAUUACGCUUGUCUAGAAAAGUCAUUAAGAUCCUAUUGACGACCUUUCAGGAUUACCCUUCAAUGGUUGUACUACCCCAGCUGGUAUCUGCAGAUUACAUUGACAUGGUUGUACCAUCGCAAGAUUGAAUUACAAUUGAAAGAAAGCUGAGACUUGAAUUAAUGAUUUAACUCCACAAUACUGUUGUUAAUGUUUGUAUUAGGUUAUUUUCAUUUAAAUUUUGAACUUUGGGGGGUCGGCCUUUGUGGUAGUAUGAUUGGCUUUAACAAGUCUAAAAGAAUAUAAAUUUGCCACAGUUUUCUAAAUGAAACAGAGUUAUUUGUUUUGAGUGAUUAGGAAGUUCUUUUCCUGAGAACAUGAGUGGUUAAACACUUAAAGCUGCCUUUUGCCAGGCUGGAAAAGUAAUAUAUACAGCCAAAUGCAUUAUGAGUGCAAGUAAUAGGUACAGUAGUGAGCGGGACAGAAUGAGGCUAGCCAUAAGUCAUGCAUCUUUGAAGUACCUUCUAGAAUAUAUUUCAGAUGAAUGGCUUUCUUGCCACAAGAUGACAAGAAUGACUACAUUCUGGCGUGUGGCAUGUUUUCAAGCAUACCGUAACAGCUGCUUGUUUUUUUCUGGAAACAAAAUAAAUGAAUCAUUACUACAAUGUCCCUGUCCUUUCUGCUUUCAUACAAAAAAAAAAUCAAGAAAUAUGUUGCAACUUUAAUUAGAGAUACAAAUGAAGUACAAAAUAAAUUACUCAUCACUAUGAUAUGCCUGUCCUUUCCAUUUCCUAGAAAAACUUGAAUUAAUAUGCAUGAAAUAAAACUCUUCUAGUGCUACUUUAUACAUUUUAAUGAAAGUACUGAAUGCAGAAUGCAUGCAUUGUUUUAUGAACGAUAGGCGUUUUAAUAUUGUUGUGUAGAAGAAGCCCAGAUACUUGUGAUUUUUACCGCCUCACAUGGCAGUGAACUUACAACCAAUUUUCAGCAGAAUUGUCUGUUUGUUGUUCCUACUCUUAAGCAUGUAUUUCAUUAAGAGAAAAAUAGUUUACAAACGACCACAUCGCUGAAUCAAGAUGAACUUGAUUGGCUGAAUUACAUAAAGGCUACUAUCGCGGUAUAGCUCAUGACCCAGGACCUACUAUGUAAACAAAACAAAAGGUUACUACUCGCAGGGUUUGAAUGAAGUAUAAAUGUAUAAUAGCAGAUGAUUCUCAGUACUGUGCGUUAGUGCAUGAAAUUGGCAAAUACAAUGGGUGCUCAAAUGAUGUGCAUUACUGUAUAUAUGGAAUUAGAGAUUCGAGUGGAUGUCUUGUAGUGGUACCUCUUCGCUGAGCCUCCUUUGUCGAUAUUUUGCCGGAAGCACUACAGUACUGCUGCAGUUUGUCACUUCGUUGCCACUAUUUGCCUACCAUAUUCUGGCAUUAACAUUACAUUACAUGUUUUCUAUUCCUCAUUUCUGAAUAGGCAUAAGGUUGCUUAUAAUCCGGGACAAGAUAAGUACAAUGAUACCAAAUUUCCAUGUUAAGAGAAAAUGGCCAUCGUACUAUUGCAAGGAUCUAAGGAACUGCUACAAUCCCUGAACCUAGUUCCCAACGUUGAAGGUGUUGAUUGGUGGCGCCUGAUAAAGGAACAGAGAAACGUGAAUUGCUACGGAGCAGGUACCGCUGACUUGCUUUCUUCCCUAGUGCCCUAGUGGACCUGGUUCGUUGUAUUGUAAUGUCACUACAACAAACUCUAUUAGACUAUUCCAUCUUUUUUUUAAACGAAUAUUAGAUUAUCCAUCAAUCUCUUCCUUUCUUUCGCUGUCAGGUUACCGCAAACAGGAAGGUAAACGGCAACGGUGAACGCUGAAAACUGAAGAUUUUGAAGGCACAGCAUGUGGGUAAAACCUUUUCCCAUGGAUUCCUCGUAUGAAAAUUUCAGCAAAUGAUACUGAAACUGGCCGCCACCAUUUUCGCCGUAGUGAUCGCUUCUUGUUUUUCCAGCUCAUCUGGCAGACAGUGAAGGUGAAAGCUCUCGCUAUUCCUGAUGAAUUGACGAUAUCUUCUGUUUCAACCAAUGCAAGGCGUUCAGUGCCCAUGAAUCCAACCACCAAGAGUCCCAAGUCACACAAUCUUGCUGCCUCCUUAUCCUAGAUUCACUAUUCAGAGUGUCGCUUUCAGGAUGUUUUACCUACUGAACAGUGAAAUGUUGCUGUUCGAUCAGUUGCGACUACUCGCAGACCUCCAGCCUUUCUUGGAGGGACGUCAGGCUCCAGAUUCGUUGAGGCCUUGAGGUCAAAACAUGCGAGUGCUUAGCUGCCAAUGCAAGGUUCAAACGAGCUGGACAGGUCCCCGUCAAUCCGUCAUGUGUCCAGGUCCAAUAACUGGUUGCCCAAAGAAAUCGAUGCAGUACGCGAGUAUACGAGCUCCUCUAGCACCAGUGUGGUAAAUGUAUUGUGGUACUACCCGAAAUCUAGUUCGGUGCUUGGUGGUUGUCAUCUUGUAAAGUCUGCAAGAUUGCAACUUUUCUCAGGCUCUCUAAUGCAUAUCCCCUAGCCAGGCUUCUAAUGCAAGAUUGUACUAACUCCUGAGCACAUUCGUCAGUGCAAUUUGCAACCAUAUGAGAUCUGCAGGUCAGACUAAAUUUAAAUUUCUUUGUAAAAAACUACACCUAAAAAGUGACUGCAACUCUGUGUCUCUGUGUAAACUAACUGUAACAUGGGGAUAUAAACGAAAAUCAAGUGUUAGGAUGUAAUGAAGCAUCUGAAUUUUUUUUUUCUUACCUCAUAUAUACUCAGGAACCAUAGAGUACAGGUUUUUGGCACAGAUGUGAGUGUAAUUGUGAUGUUGAAUAUUGUAUGUAUGGCUAAAUUUAAAUUUCUUGUAAACAACUACACCUGAAAAGUGAUUGCAACUCUGUGUAAACUAAUUGUAACAAGGGGAUAUAAACGAAAAUCAAGUGUUAGGAUGUAAUGAAGCAUCUGUUUUUUUUUCUUACCAUACUCGUCAGCCAUAGAGUACAGAUUUUUGGCACAAACGUGAGUGGAAUUCUGAUGUUGAAUAUUGUAUGUAUGGCGAAUCUACUGUAAGAGGGUCGUAUGCAUGUAUUGUAUACGAAGCAUUUCUAAUCGUAUAGAUUUGACAGAUUUAGGAAACAAUUCAAUAACCUGAAAACCGAAAUCAAACAUUCUCUUUUCCUUAAAAACCCAAGAGUAUAAACAGGGGCUCAAAGUACGAAUCAUUUCGCACGGUUCGUAGCACGGCAUGAUACAUUUUGGACCGUAGGAUCUCCGCGCGAUACUGUGGCGCAUCAUCUAAUUGAGUUAUAUGGCAAUAGAGGCAGAUUUACACGAAACGGGGGCACGUCAUCUUACCAAGUUUAUCACAAUAGAGGCAACUCUCUCUAUCUCUUUCAGUUUUUAUACCUCCUAUUGUGUUCAUUUCUCCUCUACUCAUCCCUUCGUUUCUUCUUGUGCUGUCGCUGUUUGCUCCUACCAUUUUUCCAACAAGAAGAACGAGGCCACAUGCUCACAACCCACUAAAAUGUGGGUGGGUCCCAUUAGGCACCAACGGAAAGCCGCGCAGUGGAACGAAAUCGAACGAACCCACCCGGAAGGAACCGCUUCCUUUCCUUCCUUCUCCCUUCCCAUCCUCCCCGCCCCGAGGAACUCGCCGCCGCCUCCGCACCGCGUGAUCGCCCGCCUACCACAUGCCACCGCCCCGCCUCGACGUCCCCUUCCCCUGACCGCGCGCGCGCCCACGCCGAUCGCGCCGCGCCGCGCCGCGCCUGCCCGCCAUGGCUCCCGCGGCCUUCGUCGCGAUCCUCUGCCUCGCCGGGGCGGCGGCGGCGUCGGCCGCGGAGGCGGGGUGCGGCGCGAACACGAGCCUGGCGGGGUACCGUGCGGACCUGCGCAUGUCGCAGCACCAGCUCCGCGGCCGCGUGGAGGUGCUGGACGGCUGCUCGUUCCGCGUCGCGGCGCUCGACCUCCUCCCGGGCUCCGCGUCCGCGCGGUGGUGGCGCGCGGACGGGACCGACCUCGACGCCCUCGCGCGCGGCGAGCCCGCCGCCGCCGACCCGCUGGACCGCACCUUCCGGUCCGAGUCCCUCGUGUUCCACCUCCUCCCGGGCCUCUCCUGGCCGCUUGUCCCCGUCCUCGCCGCCUACGACCCCCUCACCUCCUCCCUCUUCGGCUUCGUCCGCCUCCCCGGCGCCAACGCCUCCUCCGAUCCCUCCUCCUCCUCCGCGGCGCCCACCAUGCUCGACUCCUGCGCGCACCUCUCCCCGCGCUUCCGCGUGCGGUGGACGCUCCACGAGGCCAACAACUCCGUCGACAUCGGCCUCGAGGCUGCCGUCGGGUCCGAGUACUACAUGGCGUUCGGGUGGGCGGAGCCCGGCGCGGCCGAGCCGCCGUCCGUGAUCGGCGCCGACCUCGUCGUCGCCGGCUUCACCGAGGACGGCCUCCCGUUCGCCGACGACUACUACGUCACCAAGUACAGCGAGUGCCUGCUCCGCGACGACGGCUCCGUCGAGGGCGUCUGCCCGGACACCAUCUACGGCCGCAACCACUCCUCCUCCGCCUCCGCCGGGCUCGUCAACGGCACCCGCCUGGUCUACGGCCACCGCCGCGACGGCGUCUCCUUCGUGCGCUUCUCGCGCCCGCUGGCGCCCAAGGACAGCAAGUACGACGUCGCCGUGAACGCCACCCGGAACAUGACCGUGGUCUGGGCGAUCGGGCUGCUCCGGCCGCCGGACUCGCUCCGGCCCUACUACCUGCCGCUGAUGAGCCGCGGCGGCGCGUUCUCCUUUGCCAAGCUCAACUUGUCGGACGCCAGCGGCGGGUGCGUCGGGCCGCUGGACGCCGAGGACAAGGAGGACCAGGCCAGGAUCACGGCGGAGCGCAAGACGCCGCUGGUGGUGACGGUGGGCCCCGCGCUGCACUACCCCAACCCGCCCAACUACGACAAGGUGCUCUACAUCAACAAGAAGGAGGCGCCCCUGCUCAAGGUGGAGCGCGGCGUGCCGGUCACCUUCUCCGUCGAGGCCGGGCACGACGUGCCCCUGUACAUCACGUCCGAUCCCGUGGGCGGCAACGCCACGGCCAGGAACACGCCGGAGGUCAUCUACGCCGGCGGGCCGGAGGCGGAGGGCGUGCGGGCGACGCCGACGGAGCUCGUCUGGCUGCCCGACCGCAACACGCCGGACCUGGUGUACUACCAGUCCUUGUACGAUCAGAAGAUGGGCUGGAAAAUUCAGGUCGUUGAUGGAGGCCUCAGCGACAUGUACAACAACAGCGUGCUCCUGGACGAUCAGCAGGUGACGUUCUUUUGGACUCUCUCUGGUGACUCCAUUAACAUUGCUGCCCGAGGCGAGAAGAAGAGCGGUUACCUUGCGAUCGGCUUCGGUAGCGCAAUGGUGAAUAGCUAUGCUUAUGUCGGGUGGGUCGAUGGCAAUGGCAAGGGGCAUGUCAAGUCUUACUGGAUCGACGGGAAGGAUGGGAUGAGUGUGCACGAAACACAUGAGAAUGUUACACACAAGAGGUGCCGAUCGGAAAAUGGUGCGAUCGUGUUUGAGUUCACCCGUCCAUUGACACCUUCGUGCAGUGGAAGGGUGGAGUGCAAGAACAUAAUCGACCCGACGACUCCUCUGAAGGUCAUUUGGGCAAUGGGUGCUCAGUGGUCAUCAGGCCCCUUGAGCUUGAAGAACAUGCAUUCGGACACAAGCAACCGUCCUAUCAGGAUUCUUCUGCUGAGCGGCUUGGCUGAAGCAGUGGAGGACCUGCGCCCGGUGCUUGCUGUUCAUGGGUUUAUGAUGUUUGUGGCAUGGGCUAUUUUUCUCCCAGGGGGGAUCAUGGCUGCGAGAUAUCUGAAACAUCUGAAAGGCGAUCUCUGGUUCCAGGCUCACACCUAUCUGCAGUAUUCAAGCAUUGCUGUUAUGCUCUUGGGCGUUCUGUUUGCAGUUGCUGAGCUCCGAGGUUUCUCUUUCAAAUCCAGACAUGCUAGAAUUGGUGCGGUAGCAUUUACAUUCGCAUGUGUGCAACCAAUAAACGCAUAUCUUCGACCGCAUAAGAUGGAGGAUAGAGAACCAUCAUCAGGAAAUAGGACAGUUUGGGAGUAUCUGCAUCAUUUUACCGGGAGGUCUGCUGCGCUUGCUGGUAUCGUGGCUCUCUUUACUGGCUUGCAGCAUCUUGGGCACAGGUAUGGCAGUAAGAACAUCAAGGGGCUUACAUGUGGGCUAAUCUUAUGGUUUUUAAGCGUUGCUUUGGUAACGGCUUAUUUUGAGUACAUGGCUAUUAAGCGAAGAAGAGAUGGUGCUGAUGGCCUUUCAGGAAAAUGGGUGCUUGGCAACACCGACGAAGACGAUACAGUUGAUCUUUUGCAAUCGGACAGGGUAGUCAGUAAACUGGAGUCUAAUUCAUCACCUGAGCCAAUGGAAGUACAGCUUGAGCCACUUAAAGGAUGAUACACUUUUUUCAGUAUACAUAUAAAAAAGAAUUUAGUUCAAAUUCUUUAUAGAUAUAACAAGCGGGUGAUAUACGUCUCAGGAUAAAAGAGGGUUCGGUUCAUAUUCUUUUUUGAUUUAAGGAAAUGGUGAGAUUCCCAUCUUUUACUUCUUGAGAGGUACAUACCAAUUACCACAUGGUGUAGAUUAGUUUUUUCUUGUCUUUUGGAGCUUAGGCCCUCCUGUCUUUAAUCUCCUAACUUCUUAGGGAUCAUGUAUGUAUAUCUGUACAAUUUUGGUAUAGUUAAAACUCAAAGAGGAUACAAUUCUUUUCGGAAAAAUUUCGUGAGAAUUCUGUGAAACAUUUCUGUAGAUGGAAUUUUUUUACAUUUUAUAGAUGAUAUUGUUACUUGUUAUGUGCUAUAUUAUUAUGAGUCAGUAUACAUUACAUUACUUGGAACUAGAAAUAACUGUUGUGGAAUACUGUCCAGUGAAAUCAUAGCACCCCUGCCUGUUGUGGAAACAGUGAUCCACAUUUUAUUUGUGCCUGCUGAUGUCUUUGUGCUAUUUCUCACCUUCUUAAUCAUAAGAUUCAUGGCAAUAUAUGCCAACCUGAUGCUUUGGUGCUUUUUUGAUAUCUAUUCAAAUUGCCCAAAUGUUAGGCUGAUGAUCAGCACCGUGAUGUACCUAUUUACUGAUUCUAUGAUAUGUCAUCGCAAAUUACCAGAAAUGCAUUUAUUUCCAAACUACGUACUCAUACCCACCCUCUUUUAUCGGCCAAACACGGAUUUCCCUUUCGCCAUCGUGACACGCAGGUCUGUUCGAAAGUAGUUGCCCACUUGUCUUGCAUUCCAUUCCAGUAACGUGCUGCAGUUUGUUGACCUGAAGAUCGUCCACUACAACCAUGAGUUGGCCUCAAUCUUCUUCAAGGAAAAUAGAGCAGGUACCUACUUACUAUUCUCCCUUUUGCUGUUAUGCUGUAUUAUAUUGUGUUGGGUGGUAUUGACGUUCAACCUGCAUGUUAGGUCCAUAUUGUUCCAGUUAGAGUUAGGUGUUGGCACGCAGUCAGAUCUGGAUCCCUCCUGUUUGUUGCUUGCCACCUUGUUAAGAAACCAGGGUUAGGUGAUGUCUGGUGAGGGGGCAAAAUCAACAGCAUGUUAUACAUGAGUCCCCUUUGUUCUUUAGGGUCUCUUCUCUUGUCUUUGCCAUGAAGCCUAGUGGCCAACACGUUGCAGUUACACAAGUUCAGGCAUUGCUGAGUUUUUUUUAUGGCCCAACAAUGAACAGGAAAGUUCUUCUGGUUUAGGUGGAUGAAGCUGCCGUGCUGGAGUUUGGGUCUCUGGAGUCUAAAACUGUUGGUAGCAUUAUUUGAGAAACAGAGCCCAGGAUUAGCAUUGUAAGGACUGGACCAGAUAAAGGGAGGCUAAGGCUAUCCUCUGAUGGGCUUCCAUGCUUGAACAAUACAUGUCAUAAACCUAAGGGAUCUGCAUGUCAGAGCCUUGAAUCAGUGGCAGCAACUCAGUUCAAGCCUGGAAUCAGUUGUAACCAUGGUUCAAGGGAGGGAAACUGUACAUGUGUGUUUUGGGAUCUAGUAAUGGUUCUAAGGGAAAUGACAAUUCCAGUCAUAAAAGGCCAUCAGCGUUGGGGUAAAGUGACUCUGAAAUCUUAUUUUCCUAUGAUAUACUGCAAUGUUUUACCCUUGACUGCUGUUACCUGUAUUUGUGAAUGGCAGAUGAUAAGACUCGUAACUCCUGCCAUCUACUGCAUCCUGGACAGUAUCAUUGUGGUACGAGAUUGAUUUCUGAACUGGAGACUGGAGUGGCAAAAAAUGGGUAGCCUGCCCCAGAUCUAAUAUGUUAUUGGACGGGGCCCAUUCUGAGCACUUUUGACCCGGCCAUGUUUUCUACCGAUCCUGGCUUUUGCUGACGAAAUGGACCUGCAUUUCAGUUUGUCUGAUGUCUGAAUCAUCAUCUCCUCCACUGCCAUGAUUGCUGAGUCCACUCCGGCCCUCUGCCUAAUUCGAUGGAGAUGGUCCCUGCAAUGGGAACGAGAUCCUCUAACUUUGAGGUCUUUAUCUUUGAGUCAUCGACACGUGGGCUCCACUGCGUUUGGACCCGCAUGUCAGUGACCUGCAAUGCAGUGGCAAUAUAAUGCAUGGUCUGUGGACCUGGCAACACGAAUGCCCGAUGCAUUGCGGCAUAUCUGGUGAGGACACCCUGCUUAUGCUUAUUUGUUCCAAUACUGUCCGUAGUUGAUAUGAUCUUUUGAUUUAAUUCAUAAAUUAGUGAUGAGGUUGUACCUGAAUGCAUACCCUGCAAUUCUGAUACUAUUACUCAUGAGCAUGCUAUGCAGAAUUGCAAAGUGAAGUACGACAGGAUUAUAAGAGUAAUUUGUAUUGCCGCGAACUGUCUGCCAGUGCGUGGACAGAAUAACGAUAACGACACAUCGAACAAACGACAACACAGGACGCGCGAGUUCAACAGACAGUUCAUGUGUAGGCCGCUUGUGAGCUAUGUUCCAGAAUCUGAGCUUGUCUUUCCACAAUCUCAGCUUGUUACUCAUGAGUUCUUACUUCCCUCUGUCCCAAAUUAUAGGUCGUUUUGACUUUUCUAAGUUAUAUGAACCUAGAAAAGUCAAAAUGAUCUAUAAUUUGGGAUGGAAGGAGUACUGCACAAGUGAAUCUUUCCUGUUUUUAAAAUGGACAAGCAGCCUAGAUCUUUGGCAUGAAGCAGACCUAUCCCCAAGGCUGCUUGUCCUCAUUCCUCACAAGACAUCCUGCAGCCCUGAAUGCAUAACUGCCUCCAUGGUUAGGUUCCUGAGCCCCCGUGAAAUUAAUCCCAUAUCAAUAAUCUCUGGUCCACCUGCUUAAAUGUGCCCUGCAGCAAGCAGCCGCAGGGAAUCCAAUUGUGAUGAAUGCGACCCAAAUCAUAAUAAGCCACCAAAGAAAUCCCUCUAUGCAACCAGACAGAAUUUCUGAUGAACAGCAAUGAUCAGGAGAAAACUGCUGAAUGAUUCACAGUUUUAGGAUCAGUAAAUAAAGGCCACCAUCCUUCGCUUCGCUAACCAUUCAAUGUACAAUAGAGUGGCAUUACCAACAGAAGUGAUUUUUACACAAGUCCUAACCUCAAUUCAAGGAUAACCUAGCACACUGUCUAACAUAGAGAUAACACAAGUUCAGUAGCUGCACUGUUAUUCCAAUUUCUUCAUGGUGCUAUGAAACGAUAAGCGCAUCAAUCGUCCUCGGCAUCUCUGCGUUAGUGCCAACCUCCUCACAACAUAUCUUUGUUGUCAUCUCGUCUUUCUUCAGAUCUGCCUUCAUGUUUGCCUUGUUGAUGUCUCUCGUGCAAAGAGUUGGAGUGGCAUUGCAUUCUUCGAACCGGAAGCAACUGACCAGGUGAUCAUUUGUUAGCCCUGCAGCCUGCAUGAAGGAAUAUAUGACAGUUGGGCCCACACCACGAAAUCCCCUUCGCAUCAUGUCUUUGCUGAUUAUAUCUGCCUUGGGACUCUUGACAGGAACUUGUCUUGGAUAGCGGAACUUGCUUACUAUAGGCUUGUGGUUCAGAAAACCCCAGCAGUAUCGAUCAAAGGACCCAAAUUCAUCAGCAAUCUGCAUCAGUUCGCACAAACUAGUAGUUUCAGGCAAAAGUCGUACCAACGGAGGCACCAAUUUGGUGGUAUGAUCAAGCAGGCAUUACAAACCUUUAGUAUCUGGCGAGCAUUCUCAAGGACAGCUCGGAGCUUUUGCUCUGACAAAAGAGAAAGGGCAACACUUCCAGGUGCCACAAGCUUCUUCUCAUUUAUUUUAGAGACGGCAGGAGGGUCGAAGUCCAUGAAAAUUUCCCUGAAAGAUUCAGCAUGGAUGUGACAGAAUAAACCAUGAAGAAUACGUUUAUAUCUUUUCAACAGUACAGAACCAAUACCUAAAAAGUUGCCUCCUCUUGAGAAUUUCGGGCCAUGUAAGCUCAGCCAAUGCACAAGAUAGUACAAGUAGCUCAAACAAUCUCCUGCAAAAUGGUCAUGAUCAAAUAUCCUCUGGCUGUUCAAUUCCUUCUAACAGAAGAUAAAUAGCAAAGAUGGAUAUAGCAAUUUGCACUUCGCAUACCUGUCAUCAUGUACAGGAACCCCCCAUUCCUCAUCAUGGAAAGUGACAUAGAAAGGAUCUGAUCAGUAGAAAACAUGACGAAUCAGCUUUGCUCGUAAAAAUAAUUCAUAACUUAAGAAACACUUCAUCGGUAAGGCCUAGAAAAGGCACAGGACAACCAUAGCAUGUGAUGUGUCAAAUAAAGCAAGCACUGUACCUUACACUUUGAUUGUUUGGUUUUCUUGAUGGUAUGGAUGGAGUUAUUAACAGUGCAACACUGCUUGUCUGUUAGUUUCUGGUUGAUAAAGUAACCGUUCCUUUUGCCAAAUUUAUGGUUUCAAGCAGUUACAGUGGGGGGUUGCUGUAGCAGGAUCAAAAUCAAAGGACACAUGGAACAGAAUAGCACAGAUUGAUUGAAUGGGCAGCUGUUAAGUUGUGAUUCAAAACUACUAUAGUCAAUUCCAGAUGUUGAUGUUAAAUUGUGAGGGACUAACCAAUCCGUUAUAUGAAGGAAAUAAGAAUAAAAGGGAAACUUUAAAAAAAAAGGGAAAUAUGUUCUUUGCACUUUUUAGUUAAUUUUAAAGGAGGAAUGCUAACUUUAUCCAAUGUAGGAAGAGCGAGUUUAGCAAGUUAUGACUAUGAUAGACGAGGUAUCAUCAUUUUUGUUAGCAACUCUGCAAUAUGAUAGCUGCUCUUGAGGAAAGGCUAGAAGGAAAUAUAUAGCAUAGUUUUAAUACAUCAUAUGAGCAAGUAUGAUAAAUAGUGCCUGGCUAAGGAUACUACAUUGUGUAAGUUAUUAUGAAUUGCAACACAUGAAUGAACUGAUUAGCGAAUAACUCAAAGCAGGCAUAAAUUACGCACCCUAUCCAUAUUCAGUAACCAAAAACAUAAAGGAACAAGAAUAGUAAUUCUUCACAAUUCUUAUAGCAAACUAAGAUUUUAACAAAAAGAACAGAAGAAGCUCACCGGUGGUUGGAGUCGCCCAUGCGCACCUCCUCUUCCCUUCCACAGCCUCUGGCGUUACCGGAGCAACAAAAUCCACACCGGCCGACUUGCUCUCUGCCACCUUACCCACAGCCUUCCCUUGCUUUGGCGCAGCCGUCGACCAAGACCGGCUCUUCUCCACCUUCCCAGUGAAAGCCCGGGUGCGGACCAACUCCGCGGAGGCGUCCGAGGAGCAAGACGAGCUGAGCGGCAAGCUCGGCUGCAGCAGCGGCGCGUCGUUCCUCCUCGGCGGCGGCCCCGGCGGCGUGCGCCGUGGCGAAGGCACAGGGGACGCACCCUUGGGCGCGCCACCUCCGCCCCCACCUACGGCAUUCCUCUUGGCGCCCUCCUCCUCCUUGGCCGCGGCGGCCGCAGGCUUCUCCGGCGUCCCCGCCGCCGCCGGCUCCGCCUUCCGCAGCGGCUUGGGCGACGGUUUCCGGGCGUUCGCCGGGCCCGACCUGGCCUUGUUGCCUCCCGGCACCAGCACCGGCCUCGCCUCCACCUCCGGCGCCGCGAUGUUCAGGGACCGGACCCUCGGCGCCCCGGCCAUGGAAGCCAUUUCCGCCCAGCUCCCGGAGCUUUUACCGCCCAAAAAUUCAAACUUUACCGGGUUCCCCACUCGAGCUCCUCAGGAAUCGAGCAGAAGAGGGAAAACAAAAGGCAAUUACUCAAAGAAAAUCACCCUCCUCGUAGAGCUAAAAACCCUCCACGAACGCAAGAUUCCCCUUUCCCGAGACAAGCACGGCACCAAGAACUCCUCGAAAUCCGGGCCCUUUUCCCUCCAUCAACCUUCAAAGAAUUCAAAGAACGAGAGCUCCGGGCCAAGAACCCUAACCCCAGCCAGGGCUAGUCACGUCAUUGCACAGACAAGCUCAAGAACCCCGGCAAAGCCAGAUGCCCAGCCGCGGCGGCGGCCGGCGCUCAGAGGAGAGCCUCCCGAAGCGGCCCGGCGGCGGCGGACAGUGAAAUCCGGGGCGGGAAAGGCGCGGCGGGGAAUCGGGAAGACCUAGGCGGCAGCGGCGGUGGGGAGGGGAGGGGGGAGAGGCGCAGGGACUGCAACUGCUGCAACAGCUCCGAGGACGCAGGAAGAGUGGAAUCCAAGGCGGGGGGGGGGGGGGGGGGGGGGGGGGGCCAGGGCAAGCGGUUGGUAGAGAGGGGGAGAGGGACACUGCACUACUAGGUACUAGCUCGCUAGCUGCUGGCGGGACUCUGCCGUUUAUUUGACAACUGUUUUUUAUUUCGGGAGGGGGUGGAUUGCGAAAGUUUUUAACUUUUAUGUGCUUGCGGGGAGAAGAGUUGGUCGUAUCUGUGCCCCUGGACCGCUGUUGGUGGGCCCGGCAGCUUCUUGCUGUCUGACGGUGUACUUUUCCGGAAUGGCCCACCUGUUUUACACUAAUCGAAAUCCUGUAUAACGGCCGGCUGGUCUGAUUUCUCUCGUGGUAUUUUCUUUUUUAGAAAAAGGGGGAAAUGGUUUUCUCACGUGUCCGCGCACCAUCGUCACUGUCCAUUAUAAAUUAUUUUUCUAUGUUUUGUAAUACAUUUUUGAAAAAAAAUUGAAAAGAAAAUAUAUUUGAAAUUUUUCCUAAAACUAUUACUAGUGGAGAACUGCCUCCUCACCUAAACUUUUAUUCAUCCAUAUGCCGCAAUCGUAAGGUAACAAAGGACAGGUAACACAAAUAUAACGAAAUAGAUCAAAUGAGCAUCCAUGCUGAAAUAUUAAGUUGCGCUGCAAUUGGUGAAUGAAAGUUCAAAUAUGCAAUCAAUCGAUGCUUGCCCUUAUGGAAUGUUGGGGGUGGAUGAUUGGUGUGGACAUGAAGGGCCAUGAGCCUUGCCGAGUCUUGCAAAUCAUACACAAUGGGGGUUGGGAACACAAGGGUUAGAGCAGAGAGCAGAAAAAACCAUCAAGGAUAUGACCAUGUCAUAGCACAAAUGACAAAGUCAAGUUUGUGACACCAUAGUUAGUUAGUCCACGUUAUGGAUUCAUCCGUUAUCACACAUAAGUAAGGGGCUGUUUGGAUACGAGGUGCUAAACUUUAACAGUGUCACAUCGGAUGUUUGGAUGCUAAUUAGGAGGACUAAACAUGAGCUAAUUAUAAAACUAAUUGCAGAACCUUGUGCUAAUUCGCGAGACGAAUCUAUUAAGCCUAAUUAAUCCAUCAUUAGCAAAUGGUUACUGUAGCACCACAUUGUCAAAUCAUGGACUAAUUAGGCUUAAUAGAUUCGUCUCGCGAAUUAUACUCCAUCCGUGCAAUUAGUUUUGUAAUUAGCUUAUGUUUAGUACUCCUAAUUAGCAUCCAAACAUCCGAUGUGAUAGGUGUUAAACUUUAACAGGUGUUUCCCAAACACCCCCUAAUAGUCACUAAUAAUUUCCAUGCAAUAUUCUCAUCCAACAGCAGCCAUAACCCAUUUUGAGAAAGAGAGAUAGUAGAGAUGAGGGAGGAGGAAACGGAAGCGCCAGCCGCCGCCACUAUCGUCACGCAUUUGAUGGCAACGAUAACACACGUAUGCAGUGGUGUUGGACCGUUGGUGUGGUCUUUUCCAAGUAUUAAGAGAAAAUAAGUAUAAUAAUCUAAGGAUCUCAUUCUUUUCCUCAAUUUACCUUUUUAAUUCUCAGUUUUUUCUUUACUUUAUGAAAUCGAGGAACUUCCUCAAUUUCUACGAUGUUGCUUAACACCAGAGGGGCCAAAGAGUAACUGCUGCUGCGCUGCUCGCCGGCGGUUAUUACCGGCGGGCCGGGCGGGCGAUGGUCCAUCCAGGUCUCACUCUCCAGGACAAACCAGACAAACCAGCGCAGCCCCGCGGGCCGCGGGUGAGGUGGACACGGUCGGGCCAGUUCGAGGGAGUACGGCCCGGCGCGGGAGUACGGCGACCACGGACCGACGCUGCAGUGUCUGGCUGGCUGUCUUCCUCCGCAGGGAGCCGUAGGGAAAGCCGGCAACCAACCGCUGGCCCGUUCCGUUCGUUUCCCGUGACCUGUGGACGGGGGCCGCUCGGAACCUCCGUUUCUGGAGCCUUCUUCCGUCGUCCCCCGCACUGUGUGGCACGGGCCGGAUAUUCAGCGUCUACGGACUCAGGGGUGUUUGACACGAGGUGUUAAACUUUAACAGUGUCACAUCGAAUGUUCGGAUACUAAUUAGGAGAACUAAAUAUGAGCUAAUUAUAAAACUAAUUGCAGAACCCUGUGCUAAUUCACGAGAUGAAUCUAUUAAGCCUAAUUAAUCUAUCAUUAGCAAAUGGUUACUGUAGCACCACAUUGUCAAAUCAUGGACUAAUUAGGCUUAAUAGAUUCGUCUCGCGAAUUACACUCCAUCUAUGCAAUUAGUUUUGUAAUAGCCUAUGUUUAAUACUCCUAAUUAGCAUCCAAACAUCCGAUGUGACGGGUGUUAAAUUUUAACACAUGUUGCCAAACAUGCCCUCAUUUUGUUGAUUUUUUUUUCAGAAUCUCCAGCCGCUAUAUGUUUCUUCAUAGAGUGAUAAAGAAGACACCCAACCCAUCGUGGUGGGGUAUAGUACGUACGUACCGUCGGUGUUUAAACCUGACAACCUACCAAAAGUGUGCUUGAGGUAGUGUUUUAUGCGUAGGGCUCGCCGAUAUCAGGAACUCGAAGGUGAACUUGAAUAUACGAUUUAAACAGGUUCGGACCGCUUAGAUUGCGUAAUACCCUACGCCUUGUGUGUUGGUUGCAUUGUAUUGAUUGAACAUGUUUGGAGAGGGUCCCUGUCUCGCCUUAUAUUGCCGGGGGCAAGGUUAUAGGUCGGUUGUUUAUAGAAAUACUAGUCAGAUUCGACUAGAGAGUUCUACUCUAUUUGCUACGAGUAGUUUUCUAAUCCUCGACUAGUUCUUAUCCUCCACGUAGACCACGCCAUCUUGCAUCAUAGUCUCCAUAUCUAACAUGUCUCGGUGGACAGCCCCAUAUCUAGGACUGUCCAAAUCUUCUGGUGGGCUCAUAGAUGUAUGGACGACAAGUCCCCAAGUACUUUUUAGUCAAAUGUAGUAGCCUCCGGAUACUUUUUAGUUAAAUGUAGCAAUCCCAAAUACUUUUUAGUCAUCUCCGACUAGUUUGUGGUGCUCUUCGAGUACUCCACCGGAUUGAGCCUUCGAAUGUACUCGAGUACUGCCACGUGGUUAGAAUGUGCUCAAGCCUCAUUUAACUUAGUCUUGAAUCUUGAAUUUUAAAUUUUAUAUGGAAGUGUGAUAAAAAUCGCACUCCAUAUGGAGUAGCCCCCGAGCCUUAGGUUGAAUCGAAAAAUCAGGCUGAGGGUCAAUCUUGUAAUUUCACAUCUCUUUUUCUUAAAACCCAAAGAAAAAACUUUUUAGCCGAUGGGCACGUGGCACACAGCCCCCGAGCCAUUGCACGACUAGUUUAGGUAUAAGAGUCAACCACUGGUCAACGUGACCGUUCGCCAACAGUAACCUUAUCUCUUUCCGAAAAAAUUGGAAACUAUCAAGCGAUAACUUCGGGCGUAAAUAAAUAUUCCCGUUAAUCUCGCCUCUGUUUUAAAUGUGCCACGAUUAUAAAUAACAGAGGAAAUCAUCGCUUCCGUUUCACCCAAGCUAUCUGCUCUUUCAACUUCCACACUGUAGCUCUAGCGCCGCCACUGCCCGAUCCUUGAGCUCGAGCGCCACCAUCCCCCACUGCAGCACAUGCGCAAGAAGACCCUUGGGGCAACAUGAAUGGAGAAGAAGGCAACAUCCAUUAAGGCAGUGGAGAGCAAGAAAAGGAAGGUUGAGAAGAAAAGGGAGAUCCAGUUGCCAGCGCCGAAGUGCGGCAAGGCUGAUCAAACAGUUCCGCCAACUCAAGCGUGCGCCUGGAAGAAAUCCGUGUUGAAAGAGGCGGACAUCCAGGCAUUGGUGGAUGCCAAUCUUCUCCAAGACCAAGAGUUCAUCAACUAGAGAGAAGCCUGCGGCAACCCCUAGCCAAUGGAGAACUACACCCAUGAGACGGUAAUCUUCAUGCAUUUCAUUGAGCGUGGUUUGGCUUUGCCCACAUCAGACUUCUUCCGCGGGCUUCUGAAUUAUUACAAGUUGGAGUUAGUCCACCUCAACCCCAACUUGAUUCUGCACAUAGCGAUUUUCGUGCAUCUUUGCGAAGCAUUUCUCGGAAUCCAGCUGCAUUUCCAACUCUUUCGCAAGUUCUUCAGAGUCAAGCCCCAGCCCAGGAUGGACCAUACCGAAGUAGUUGGGGGAGGGGGCAGGCAUUCAAUUGCGGGAGAAGGUCAAAGGCUUGUACUUGGAUUACGAGCUAAUUGACUCCCAUUCUGGCUGGAAGAAGAGGUAGUGUUACAUCGGGAAUCAUGAGCCCGACUACCCAAGGUGACAGGCCACCACCCAGUUUGGAACAACUGGUGGUUGGACGAGCCUAACCAUGGAGAUAGUCUUCAGCUACCCGAGCUUCUAGAGAAGAUUGCCAUACUCAAGAAGGAAGGGCUGAUCAGAGUUGGGGUAGCCUUCAGUUUUAUGAGGAGGCAGAUCUAACCACUGCAACUGCGGUGCACCUAGGGAUACGACUACUCGGGCCCCGAUGAUCCAUCCCGGAUGAAAUCAGAUGACUUGUCCAUGGAUGAAGUUAUAGCGCGAUUGAGGCACCUGUUCAAGCACGCGAGAGUGAUCCCGACUAUUGUUCGGGAGUUCUGCACCGCGAACACGCCAUGUAGUGUAAGUACCCAUGGCCUUAGCCUCAGAGUACUAAUUUUUGUACUUGUUGAUUUUCUAACUUGUCUUCUCAUGUAGGAGGAUAUUCACUUAUUUUGCUCCACCCCUCCUCCACCUGGAUCGGAUGGUUUUGACGCCACUCCGUGAGUACACACGACUGCCGAUGUACAGAAGGUAGUCAAGAAGGAGGAGGAGGAGGGUUUCUCUUCGUUCAGUAGCUCUAACUCAGAGGCUGCUGAAGAACUUGUUAUCAAGUCCUGACCAUCGGACAAGGUGGGGUCUUCAUCCGGGACAGCCAAGCGUGAAGCUGAAGAUGACCUGGAGGUCGGACUAGCGCCGCCGCCGAAGAAGAGGCGCAAUGUCGCUGCCAAGCAUGCAGCGAACAAGCCGUUCACCAUCGAGGACGUCCUCCUCCGGUAAUCACAUUUGAAGAAGGACAAGAUCCUGAGGACCAAGUACUCGUAAGUCAAUUCCUUACCGCCAUUGCUACUUAGUAUGACAUUGGUGGAUUGCAGGUAGUCCGGGAGGAAACAGAAGCGGAGAAAAUGAUUGCGGAAGUCGUGCAGCAGGAGCUACCAACGAUCAAGGAGGUCAUCAAACUUGAUGAUGACGAAGAGCCUCCCGUCGCUAGGGCCAACCCCUUCGGCGCGCAAACUACUCAAGUGGUGGAGAUGGCAACUAAGGUUGGUGAGGAUCCAGCUGCGAUCCAACAAGCCGCGCCGAAGAAAUUGUCUCCCAUUGUCAAGCCCAUGCACCUAGCGGGAGAGCCCUCUUUGAAAAUAAAGAGGUCCACCAAGUAAGUACUAGAAUGUUAUCCGAGUACUGAUUGUAUCUCGAUUGUGCCUUGCAGUGUGUUUUGAGACUUGCCAUUUUCAGGAAAUCCGUCAGCGUGGAUAUUGGAGGCCCGAGCCCGAGGUCUGCAACCGAUGGCAGCAGCCGCUCGGCCCAAGACCUCAUCCCAGCGCCCACAAUUCCGCCGCUGGAGGAGCAGCCUGCGCCAGAAGUAGCUCCAGAUGUUGUUUCCCUUAUUGCUGCGCUUAUGCAUGAUGUUAUUACGUCACUGAAUGUCACUGUAGUGCCAACCCCUGAGUUGCCGGUAGGCGAGCCCAUCGUAGCGACUACUUCCGAAGUUGUGGCUACAUUUGUAGCCCUAAAGCUGGAGGAGGGCACUAAUGCUGAGGUGGCGACUACUUCUAGAUUCGUGCCUACGCUUGUAGCCCCCGAGCUAGAAGUGGAGACUGAAGCCGUUGGAGCUAUCCAAGUUUUGGCAUGCAUUCCGCCUUCUGAGGCGGGUUCGUCAACCAGCCACGCGUUGGUUUCUCUUGGUGCGCCAAUUGCCGAAGAGCACGAGGAACCUUGGAUAGCUGAGGGGGUGAACCUGGAGGAUAUCCAGUUCCUUGCUGACCCUCUCACCACCAUAGAGAUGGUGACCACAAUCAAGGAGAUGCACCGCCGUGUAGGCGAAUACACAGUGGUAAGUUUCUCUUCUACGUUUGUCUUCAACUUGAAAUCGGUACUCGUUCCUUAUACGAGUACUUGCUCUAUUUUGCAAACAUUGAUCGAACGCUCCUAUCGGAAGUUGGAGAUGAUCCAGGGCUAUAAACACUAGCUCAAGCACUUGAGCGCGAGUUUGCCAAGGAGCGACAGUACUCCUCCCGGCUACUCAUGAAGUAUAAUGGCCAAGCCGUCAAGUACCGCAACCUCAUCCAGAAAGUUGUGGAGGAGAAGGACCGCCUUCGGAAGUGCAAGAAGAUGUUGAAGCAUCAGUUGGGAGGUAACUUGUUUGCUCUUGUUGGCCUUCGAGUACCAAUUGCAAUUGGUGAUUCUGAACUACUCCUUGUGUUGUUCUAGCAGAGGUUCAGAAGGUCAAAGAAGAUCUCUAAGGCCAUGUCAUUGACUGGCAGAACCUGUACUACAGAGUGACGGAGCAACACGACAAGUUAUUCGCUCUGCAUGAGAAUCUGGAGCACCACCUAGAAGGAGCGAAAGAUGCGCUCCGACGGGGAAGUCAAUCUUGUAAACGCCAUGAGGAGCAUCUGAGAGCACGAGGCUGAUUUGGCUGCCACAAAACUUACUUUGAAGGAGCUAACAAAAGCCGCUCAUCCCAUUGCUGACAUGGUGGAGGCCCCUACGGAAGGCGUGGAGCCCCGUCCUUUGGUGGAAGUACUCAAGGAGGUGCCUACGAAGAUCACUGGCUACAUCCAGAAGAUGGCAAGUCUGUCUCGAGGCAGCUGUUAGCCAUGGUGAAGUCCUUCUACCCGCAAACUGACUUGGCUCCAGUUGUGGAGGGGAUUGUACAAGACUGCUCUGAUGAGGUGGCUCCUAUUGCUAAGGAGGUAGCCAGUCAGAUAGACCUUGAGCAGUUGUAUAUAAAGACAAUAUGUUAUUGUAAUAUAAACAUGAAAUGAAUCAAAAUGUAAAUUAUUUGAAGUUUUGUUGUAAAUUUUAUUACUUGUCGACUUGUUUGAAUUCUUUGUUUUAAUGCAUCUCCCAAACUACCCUGAUCGUUGCUCGUAUGGUAGUCAUGAGUGUCUACGCACAAGACUAUUCUUGUGAGCCUCUUGAGAUACACAGUGUAGAGCACAUUUAGGAUGCAACCUCUUUCUACGGAGUGCAAAUACUCGGGUAUCUGGGUAGUCAGAAUCUUUAGACGAGUAGACUAUUCAGGACUUCGUCGAUUAGAGCCUACCUUUGCAACCUCUCUGGGUUGUUCGAGUGUUGUGCUUCGAAGACUUGGCACUACAGACUUGUUAUUAUAAGCAGCGACUAGACAGACUUGUCUAGAUAAUAACUCGUGUAGUAUAGAUAACUCCCAAGUUACUGACGGCUGCUUUUUUUUUUGAGGCCACUGAUGGACAGACUUGUCCAGGGAGCUGACUAGCUCAUAAACUUGUUUGCGUAGACUUGUCUUUGCAAGUCGCUGCUGGACAGUUUCGUCCAACGAGUUGAAUAACUUGAAAAAUGUGUGCAGGCUUGUUAUUACAAGCCGCAUGUGGAUAAUUUUGUCCAAGGAGUUGAAUAACUCGAAAAAAUCAUUUUGCAGUCUUGUGACUACAAGUCACGGGUUGGGCGAUAGUACCCGGGGAGUUGAACAGCUCUGCGAACCUGAUUUUGGAAGCCGUAAUCCGGCAGAGAUGAGUCAUUUUACGACAAAAAAUAACUCUACUUUAAUAAACUGUAAUUGUACAACUAAUGCCGAUGGCCAAUUUACAUGAAUUUGUAAACUAUGGGUAGAAUCCACACAGGUGCUCGAUGUUUCACGAGUUGUCAACUUCUUCACCAGACAGAGUUUGUAGCCUAUACGACCCAGGUCCUGUGACCUUGGAGACGAUGAAAGGACCCUCUCAUGGCGAAUUCAGCCUGUGCAGCCCCUUGGUGUCUUGAAUACGCUUGAGGACCAUGUCGUCUGUGUUGAAUGAACAUUCUUUGACGUUUCAAUCAUGAUAGUAGCGAAUUCCUUCAAGGUAUCUUGCUUACUGGAUGAGUGUUGCACAACAAGCUUCUUCGAGGUUGUCUAAGUCUAGACGCCUUGUUUCUUCUAUCGCGCCCUCCUCGUACUGCUCGACUACUGGAGAUUUCCACAUGACGUCAGCAGGGAGAACGACUUCUAAUCCAUAGACCAGGAAGUAGGAUGAGUACCCUGUAGGCUUGCACGGCUGGGUGCGAAGCCCCCAGAGGAUAUUGGGUAGUUCCUUGAGCCACUUUUCCCCUUUGGUGUUUUCAAUGUCGUGUAGUCUUUUCUUGAGAGCCUCCAAUACCAUCCCGUUGGCGCGCUCAACCUGGCCAUUGGCCCGUGGAUGAGCGGUAGAGACAUACCGCACAUCAAUCCUGCUAUUCUCACAGUACUCCCAGAACUCAUGAUUAUUGAAAUUUGAGCUCAGGUCUGUGAUGAUGUGAUUGGGGAAGCCGUAGCGAUGGACAAUUUUGUCAAGGAAGUCAAGUACUCUGUCAGCCUUGGGGCAGGUUACUGGCUUCACCUCGAUCCUCAGGCGCCGUAGGCAGAGGGCCAAUCAUGUCUAGCCCCCAGCAUGCGAAAGGUAGGAGGGUGGUAUGGUAACCAACUUGUAGGGAGGGACAUGUUGUUGCUUGGUGAUGAAUUAACACCCUUGGCAUCGAUGAACUAGUUCUUUGGCGUCAGCGAGAGCUGUAGGCCAAUGGAAUUCUGCUCUAAAAGCCUUGCUCAUGAUCGUUCUUGAUGAUGCGUGGUUGCUGCAGAUACCUUCGUAAAUUUCCUCCAAUAUGUCCUUGCCAUCUUGCCGUGAGACGCACUUCAUGAGUACUCUUGAUGAUGCGCCCCAUCUAUAGAGCUUGUCCCUGACUAGAACAUAGUUCUUGCCACGUCGUGAGACUUGCUCUGCUUCUAUCUUGUCUGCAGGUAACUUGUGCUCCUUAAUGUAGUCGAUGAAGGGGGUUCGCCAGUCUACAUCGAUCAUCAUAACCUCCUGGUCUGGUGCAUCAUGGCCCCGAUUGGUGGUUUUUGAAGGCGUCGGCUCCGCUAUGGAUGACUUGUGUAGUUCAUGGACGAAGACCCUAGCUAGAACUUAAGCACAAGUAGAUCCAAGCUUUGAUAGGAUAUCUGCAGCUACAUUGUUGACGCGGACGAUGUGAUGGAACUCCAGACCAGAGAACUUGUUCUCUAGCUUGUGUACUUCGAGGAAGUACGCAUCUAUGUUAUCCUUGUGGCGAUCCCACUCAUCGUUGACUUGAUUAAUGACUAUCAGUGAGUUGCAGUAGAGCAACAAUCGCUUCAUUCCCAGCGAGAAUGCUAGACGGAGCUCGUGCAGAAGCGCUUCAUAUUUAGCUUCAUUGUUGGAUACCUCCCAGAUGAUUUGCAAGACAUAUUUGAGUUGUUCGCCUUUGGAAGAGAUUAAGAGUACUCCUGCGCUGGCACCCUGGAGCUUGAGUGAUCCAUCAAAGUACAUGACCCAAUGCUCGGGGUGUUCUGCUGGUGUUGGUACUUGAUUUUCCCGCCAAUCUGCCAUGAAAUCGAGUAGUGCUUGUGACUUGAUGGCAGCCCUUGACUUGAAUUCUGGGGACAGUGCUUCGAGUUCUACUGCCCACUUGGAGAUUUUUUGUGUCACAUCUUGAUUGUGGAGGAUUUCUCCCAAGGGGAUGUCUGUGAUGACGGAGAUGUUGUGUUCCUGGAAGUAGUAUUGUAGCUUCCGCGAGAUGAGUAGUAUUGCGUAUAACAGCUUUUGAACUGGUGGGUACCUGACUUUUGAAUUCGACAACAUCUCACUGAUGAAGUAGACGGUCCUUUGUACUUUGUAUACAUGGUCUGAUUCUGGUCGUUCGACCACGAUCGCCGUGCUGACAAUAUUAGUAGUCGCGGUGAUGUAGAGCAGCAAGUCUUCAUUGGGAGUAGGCGCUGUGAGAACUGGUGACUUUGAUAGGAAGUCCUUCAACUAUUGAAGGGCUUCAUCUGCCUCCCCAGUCCACUAGAAUUUAUCUUGCCACUUGAGUAGUUUGAAGAAGGGUGGUCCUGCUCUCCAAGCCUUAAGAUGAAUCUGUUCAGGGCCGCCAUGCAUCCAGUUAGCUUCUGAAUGUCCUUGAUGCAUGAUGGGGUGUGCAAAUUGGUGAUGGUGGUUAUCUUCUUAGGGUUAGCCUCAAUUCCUCAGUGACUAAUGAUGAACUUGAGUAGUUUUUCGGAGGGUACACUGAACACGCACUUAGUUGGGUUUAGAUUCCACCGGAACUCUUGCAAGCUUGCGAAAGUUUCUUUCAGAUCCGCAAUCAAGUUGUCGGGAUUUUUGGUCUUUACAACUAUGUCAUCCAUGUACACCUGUAUGCUGCGGUGUAGUUGUUUGUUGAAGCACUCCUGGAUUGCCUGUUGAUAGGUGGCACCUGCGUUCUUCAACCCGAAGGACAUUGUGGUGUAUCAGAAAGCUCCGUAAGGGGUAAUGAACAUGGUCUUGAUUUGGUCUUCUUCCAUGAGAGCUAUGUGGUGAUACCUCGAGUAGCAAUCAAGGAAACAAAGUAGAGCGCAUCCAGCCAUCGAGUCGAUGACUUGAUCAAUCUUAGGGAGCCCAAAGGGAUCCUUUGGACAGUGCUUGUUGAGGUCUGUGUAGUUGACACACAUCCUCCACUCGUUGUUGUUUUUCUUCUGCAUCAAGACGGGAUUGGCCAGCCACUCUAGAUGAUAGACUUAUUUUAUGAAGCCAACCACGAGUAGUUUGGCCAACUCUUUUUUGGUUGCCUCUCUUCUGUCUUGAGCGAAUCGGCGUAGUCAUUGCCAUUUUGGCAUAGCUUUGGGAUUCACAUUUAGUGAGUGUUUGAUCAACUCCCUAGGAAUCCCUGGCAUAUUUGAUGGCUGUCGGCCAUACAUCUAUGGGUCCACUGGAAGGUUUCGACAGUCCUACAAUACGGGGCUGUACAUCGAGAUGUAUCAGAUAUGGAGACUAGUCAAGGAUUAGAAAACUACUCGUAGCAAUUAGAGCAGAACUCUCUAGUCGAGUCCGACUAGUACUCUUGUAAAGAACCGACUUGUAACCCUGCCCUCGGCAAUAUAAGGUGAGGCAGGGACCCCCUUUAAACAAGAUCAAUCACUACAAUCCAACCAACACACAGGAUGUAGGGUAUUACGCGGCAUAAGCGACCCGAACCUGUCUAAAUCGUGUGUUCGAGUUCACCUUCAAGUUCCUAAUCUUGACGAGCCCCACUGAAUAGUAUCUUAGCCCCCUUAAGUGACUUUUGGUGAUUUAAUGACGCAAGCUUAAGAAUCUAACAAAGUUUCAAGUGCAUAAGCAGCUUUAAAAGGAUUAUUGGUCAUGAAGCACUUGUGAUAAACCCCUCAAAAGAAAAUGAAUAAAUAAACGGCAUACCUUGAAGACUAAAUUUAUUUUCGGUUGGAAUUUGAGUAUAGGAAUGACGCACUAUUAAGUGGGAUGCGAAAUCUCUAAUCUUUACGUUGAAAAAGAUGCUCAAGAUGACCUAACAAACCUAUGAGAGAUACCUUUGCACCUGCACAUCACCUAGGGUUACUUAGAAUGGUGCUAACUUCGUUCCAGAAUUUUUCGAAAAAUCUUUCGGAAUAUUCCGGAAGUUACAGAGUUUCCGGAGAAGUUCCGAAGGUCCGAAUUUUUCCGAAAAGUUUGCCGAAAGAAUUCGAAGGUUCCGGAAGUUUCCAGAGAAAGUUCCAAAAGAUUCCAAAAUUUAGCGCCCAAUGGGUAGUUUUGGGGUGAAGGGGUAUAAAUACCCCCUCGCCCCCUCCCAGAGAAGUUCUCUUGUCUUCUCACUGUGCUAAACUUCAGAAAAGCUUCUAACUCCUCUCUUUGCUCCCCUUUGGCAUUCUUUGUGAGAUUUGGUGGGGAUUUAAGGAGGGAUUUAAGAGAGAUCAAGGGAGAGUGCUAGUAAGCUAAAUCUCCAUCUCUUGAGCACCUUGUUCUUCGUCAAGCCGGUGGUUCCGUGUUUGCUACUCUUGGAGUUUCAAGCUCCUAGUCGGCUAGGCGUUGCUCGUUGAGCAUCCAAGGAUUGUAGCUUCCUCAAGAAGUUUGUAUUACCCCGACAAUUGAGUAAGUGACUCUAGCUUGAUCUUUGCGGUCACUAGAGGGAGGAAAGUGGCUUAGGAGUGAAAAGCCUACCCUUCGUGGGUCCUGAACGGAGACGUAGGCUUCAAGGUGUGAAGCUGAACUCCGGGAAACAAAUCCUUGUGUCUAUUGUGCUUAUUGUUCUUAAAUUCGUUCAUAUUCAAGCAUAGAACAUAUUUCUAGGGUUUGAGCUCGAUCUACUUUUCUAGCAAUUUUUCAACUGUGCUAUCUUGUGUUAAAAGUUUAGAAUAACCAGGUGAAUAACUUAUAUUUAUUGAUUUACUUUUCAGCGAGUUUUUCUUAAGAUUGUAGUUCAAAUCUUUCAAUCUUCGGAACAAUCUCCGGAAAUUUCCAGAAGUCGAUGAUAAACUUGUUCAAAGUUGUAAAAAAUUUCCAGGUUCGACAUUCACCUCCCCCUCUAGUUGACAUCCUAGAUCUUUUCAAUUAGUAUCAGAGCCUUGGUCUCUGGAUUAAAGCUUAACCACUUGGAGUAUCGAGAUGUCGACGCCGGAAAAUUAAGAGGUUCCUCUAGGAGGUGAUGUCUCUAACCCAAACGUCAAUCAACAACACGUGGUGCUACAAGGAGCACAAAUAAUUGCUCAAGGAGGACGUGUCGGUGGAGCAAGCACAAGUGCAAGGUGGCAUCAGGAAAGUGAUGACUCCUCUGACGACGACUUUGAGUAUGACGAUGCAAGAUCAACUCACUCUGGACAUCAUGGUCAACGAAGGGAGUAUCACCAAAUCUCAUUCAAUUAUAAUUUCUUAAGUUUUAACACCUCAUCUGAGUCUAUCAACUUGGGAGAGCCACCUCAUUUCGAUGGGAUAAGCUAUUCCAAGUGGAAAAACUCGAUGAGGAACUAUUUGAUAGCGAUCAACCCUGCACUUUGGGAUGUUGUUGAAGUAGGUAUAACAUUUCCAUCUGAAGAUGCCACUCUCACACAAGACCAAGCACUUGACAUUCAACGCAACUAUCAAGCUUUGCAUCUUAUCAAGAGUUCAUUUGUACCGAAGAGUUUGAUAAGGUUGAUGGGUUGCAAUCUGCCAAGGAAGUGUGGGACACUCUCUUUAUCAACCAUCAAGGCACAAGAAGGGUUAGAGAAGGAAGAAUAAGAGCCUUGGAAAGUAAAAUCAACCGCUUCAUCAUUAUGGAAAAUGAAAUACCUCAAGAGAUGUACAAUAGGUUGAACAAGAUCAUUAACAAGAUAAGAUCUCUUGAAAGUGAUAAAUGGGGAAGAAGAGAAGUAGUGGACAAGAUUCUCUCGGCCUACAUGGCUAGAGAUGUUCAACUUUCUAUCUUGAUUAGGGAGAAGAGAGGAUUCAAGAAAUUCACUCCGGCGGAUGUGAUCGGAAGAAUUGAAGAACAUCCCAUCAUCGUCGAAGAAUCCAAGCUAUCCCAAGAAAUGUCCAAGAUUCAUGAGCAAAUUGAAAAGAACAAUGGGGUAGCUCUCAAGGCAAGCCACAAGAACAAAGAGAAAGAAGUAAGCACAUCAUCCAAGGCAACUACCAAGAAGGAGAGUGAUGAUAGUGAUAGCGAGAGCAUGGAUGAGGAAGAAAUGGCCUUGUUCAUGAAAAGAAUAAGGAAAGUGAUGAAGAGGGGUGGUUUUUUUUUGACAAGAACAAGGACAAAGACAAGAAUAAGAGGAAGUCAAAGAGGCCAUGCUUUGCAUGUGGCAAGGAGGGUAACUUCAUUGCUAAUUGCCCAAAAGUCAAGAUCAAGAGGAAUGGCUCAUUCGAGUUUGACAAGAGCAAGCAUAGGAAGAAGGUUGGUGAAGCUCACUUGGGUCAAGAGUGGGAUUCAAAUGAAGAAAGAUCAGACUCCAAUGAGGAAGUGGGUGUAGCAUCAAUGUCUCUUGAAGCAUCAAUUUCUAAGUCAUAUUUAUUUGAAGAUCUCACCGAUGAUGAAGAUGACUUCACCCACAAUUGCUUCAUGGCUAGAGGGCCUAAGGUAGAUUCUAAAACUCCCCUCUCAUGAUGAUGAUGAUUAUGUUGAUAGUGAUGAUGAUAAAGUACUAAAAGGUUUAGGCAAACAUGCUUCUAAAAGAAUAAUGAAAUUAAUGAUGGAAAUAGAAGAUAGGGAUGAGACUCUUGAAGUGCAAGAAGAGUUAUUUAGGCUUAAGCGAGAGAAAAACAUUGCCCUUGAGAAAUCCCUUGAAAAUGAAAAUAAGGGUUUCAAGGUGCAACAGGACUUGCUCAAGACUAAGAUUGACACAAUUUUUAGCCUUGAGAAAUCUAUUGCUAAAGAGAAGAUGAAAGUGGAAGAAUUAACUAAGGAGCUUUCAUUAGCUAAGGACACUAGUGCUAGUCUUAAGAAUGAAAAGGUUGUGCUUCAAGAUAACCUCACAAGUUUGGAAGCCAAUCACAUGGCACUUGAAACUCAACUUGACAUUCUUAAGAAAAGCACUUCAUCAAACUCUAAUGAUACAUCCAUAUCUUCUAGUGCCUCCACAAACUCACUUCUCAAUGAAGAAAAGAACAUCUCCAAAAGGGGUGAGUUUGAAAGUCACAAUAAGAGUUUUGGGUCAAGCUACAUGAAGAAGCUUAGCUUUAAGGAAGCUAGGUAAGUUUGAGCAAGGCUCACUUGACCCCACUCCAUUCGUGAAGAACAACUACACCAUGGGCGUGGGGUCAAAGAAGGUGGUGCAUGGUAUGAGGCCACUAGGUGCGAGAGUUGAUGGUAAGCAACUUAAGUACAACAAGCCCAUCAAGUUCCACAACUCUCAAGAAACACAAGCAAAGCCCCAUGUCUCUCAAAGCAAGCACAAGACCUCUCAACCUAAGCAAGUCAAGAAGCCCAAGCCACAUGCUUCACAACAUGGUUUUUAUGCUGAUUAUGCGUUGACUUGGGAUCACAAUGGUAAAGUGAUCGCCAAGUAUGUGGGUAACCGCACCAAAAACACUUUGAUCAAAAGGAGUGUGUGGGUGCCCAAGGUUCUUGUGACUAAUACUCUAGGACCCAAAUUUCUUUGGGUACCUAAAACACAAGCCUAAUUUGUUUUGUAGGUUUACUCCACCGGUGGAACCAAAUGGGUGAUUGAUAGUGGAUGUACAAAUCAUAUGACCGGCGAGAAAAAAGAUGUUCUCCACAUGUGAGAUGAAGAAAAAUCCAAAGAAGAAGAUAGUAUUUGUUGACAAUAGUGAAGGAAACGUUAUUUGUUUAGGUAAUGUUGCCAUUUCAACCGAGCAUUCAAUUUCCAGUGUUUAUUUGGUUAAAUCUUUGGACUAAAAUUUAUUAUCCAUGUCACAACUUUGUGAGGUGGGUUAUAAUUGUUUGUUCACUAAUGAGGGUGUGAUCAUCUUUAGAAGAAGCGAUGACUCCAUUGCUUUUAAUGGUGAACUCAAGGGAAAGCUUUAUCUAGUGGACUUUAUCUCGAAUAAAGCUCAACUUGAUACAUGUUUAAUGAUAAAGUCUAGCUUGAGUUGGCUUUGGCAUCACCGGCUAGUUCAUGUUGGGAUGAAUAAUCUCAACAAGCUUCUAAAGGGGGAACACAUCUUAGGACUAACAAAUAUUCUUUUUGAGAAAAAUAAAAUUUGUAGUGCAUGUCAAGCCGGCAAGCAAGUUGGUGCUCCUCAUAUUCUCACCACCACAAGACCCUUGGAAUUAUUGCAUAUGGAUAUCUUUGGUCCCGUGGCUUAUGUUAGCAUUAGGGGGGAACAAGUAUGGAUUUGUCAUUGUUGAUGAUUACUCUCGGUACACAUAGGUGUUCUUUUUGCAUGACAAAUGUGAAGUUCAAGGAAUUUUCAAGAAAUUUGCAACUAGAGCACAAAAUGAGUUUGAAGUGAAGAUCAAGAGAGUAAGAAGUGACAAUGGCACCGAGUUCAAGAACACCAACAUUGAAGAGUAUCUUGACAAGAAAGGUAUUGAUCAUGUAUUCUCCAUCCCAUACACGCCACAACAAAAUGGGAUUAUGGAGAGAAAGAAUAGAACUCUCAUUGAUGCCGCAAGAACAAUGCUUGAUUAAUACAAGACAUCGGAUCAAUUUUGGGCGGAAGUGGUCAAUACGGCAUGCCAUGCUAUCAACCAUCUAUUGUAACAACUCUACCUUAAAAGAGGUGAAAUGUCCAAGUUGAGCAAGUCAUUAGUCACUAAGUAAAAGAGGUGAAAUGUCCAAGUUGCCCCUAAAAAGCUCCUUUUGGAGUUAAAUAGAAAACAUGAGUUUUUGUAUACAAACUUAACAUUUUGCCCAAAUAAGAGUUGUAAAACUUUUAAUUUCAAACAACUUUUAUUAAUAACACUUUGGCUAAUUCAGAGUGGGAUAAGGUCAAAAACAUGAAUAAAAUCAGGAGUAUAUUAUAAACCUACUAAUGACCAGUCCUGGAAUUCAUGUUUUUCCUCAACUUUGCAACCUGUUAUCUCGCAAUUCUAUAUCUAACCUCAAGUCAGACCCUUAAUAGAAGUUGUAGUUCCUUAAGUUAAUUCAAACCUUGUUACACUGACCCAGGUCCAAAUCGUAAUCGAACCUACUUAAAAACUUGGUCAAAAUCGUGUAAAAUAGUCAACUCGGCCUUUUUGCAUUCCAGAGUUCAAGUGUGGAAAACGUCCAGAGCACGCAUCUUGGCAAGCUUGUUCCUCCAAAAAUAUGAACUGAACUCAAGAAAAGUCCUUAAUAGAAGUUGGAGUCCUAAGACCAAAGAACUUUUCCUCCAUUUAUGCUGUGGCCUGAUUCAGACGGGAAGCUACUCAAAAUCUAAGCCAAAGUUGGCCAAAAUGCUGAAAAAUAGCAAAACCGAGAUCUGCCUAAGUCCCUAGAAGCCGGCGUUCUGUCAAACUUUGCAACUCCAUAAUUUCAAAUUCAUCUCGUUUUCAAGAAAACUCCUUUUGUAAAGUUUGAAGCCGGAUGCCAGGUCUACAAGUUUUACUUUUGGAGUUUCAUGAGUUCUUUUGAAAAAUUUGGAGAAAAAGGCCCCAAAAACCGGCCCUUUUGGCUGCCCCAAGGAGCACCCCGCUCAGCGCGCGCCCGGAACAUGCCCGGCAUGUACACUUGAGCGCCACCUGCCGCGUGGCUCUCGCCCACCGGUGAGCUCGCCGACGGCCAACCGACGGCCAUGACAGGACAACUCGCUCGCCGGGACGCCCAAUGACCACGCGACCCUAUCCUCCCUCUGCCCGAGCAUCUCCCACGUCCAAUGCCACGCCACGUUUGUGCGGCUCCCCUGCGCCACGCCAUGGCCGCUCGAUGGCCGAGCUCCACCUCCCCAAUCCACCGCUCGACGGUGAUAGGACAACCCUGGCUGGCCCUAUCGCUGCACCCGACAAAGAAGAUCGUGCACCCCUCCUAUCUCCCACGCCCAAUCGCCAGAAGAUCUUCACGUGCGCCCGCACCAUUCAUCCGCCAGUGGGUGCCGCCAGCCAAUGGUAGCACCCUGUUCUCCUCCCCCGCUCACCUCCGGCCACGUCCGCCGCCAGCAUUGGCUCCGCCCUUGCCCUCCGCACCUCCCUGGCCCUAUAAAAGGAGCCGAUGCGCCGCCUGCGCAGCUCCCCACACUCGCAAAGCUCCGCCGCUCCCCUGUUCUCAGUGCCGCCGUACCACCCUCCCGUGGAGCCCCCACCUCCCCGCCACCCCGCGCCUCGCUGACACCACCACUCGCUCCGCCGCACCACCGCGCACGUCUCUGAGCGACUUGUUGCCCUCCCGGAGCUCCGCCAUCACCAGAACUUCACCGGGACCCUGCCACCGAAGCCGCUUCCGUCCCCAAGCCGUUUCUCCACCGUUGAGCCUGCUCCGCCGCCCUAACCGUCGCCAAUCGACCCUAAGUGACCUGCGCUCGUCCCCGGUCACUUGUUGCCCUGGCCCGAGCCUCACCUCGCCGGAAUCGGGUGAAGAUCGCCACUGGCCGCCACGAGGACCUAUCUAUGUCGUUUACCUUCUUCUAGGGGCUUUAGCGCAAGAACUAGGGACCCCUGCGCAAAUAAACCGUAGACACGGGGGUUAGUUUGUAAGUUGUUUUCGGUUUAUUGUUUUAAAUCAUCAGAAAAUGGGGUAAACUUUGUAAAUGCACCAUAAAUCAUAGAAAAAUCAGAAAAAUGCCAAACCACUUUUGUUGAACUCAGUGAACUGUCUAGUUUCAUACAAAAAUAAUCUUGCCCAUGUUACUAUUGGUAAUAAUACCCUAUGGUUUUAUUUCUUGCUUAGGACUUUUAAAUCAUAGUAAAUCAAAGAAAAAUGCUAAAAAGGUAAAUCCAACUCUGUGGUGUAUGUUUCAGUGAGUAGAAGCUCAGAAAAAUACUUAGGGCCCUGGAGUAGAACUUAAAAUCACUGUUUUAACAUUAUAUUUGAAAUCUAGGGUUAAAUCUUCCUUUUUGCCUAAGUUUUAAUCCAAAGUUGAGAAAAAUGUGAAACCACUUGGAGUAGCUUAGUUUUGAAGUGUAGUUUAUAGGAAAAAUAUGGAACCUGGUCAAGAACAGAAAGAAACCCACCUUCCUUUAUAGAGCAAGAUAAAUAGGAGGAAAAUAUGGGAAAUAGAUGUCCUUCUCUAAAAAUCAUGAAAAAUUCACCAAAGUCUCUAUAACACGCCUUCAACCUACUGGUAAAAUUUCACCCUCGGAAUCACUGUAGGCUUUAAGAUAAAAAUGGUUAAGAGCAUGCUACCCUUGGUGGUAAAAUACUUUUAAUUCUUCGUGGUAAUCCAAUGGAUCCCAAUUUUUUACAGUAACUCAUUGAUGGCAUGAGUAAGGCACUGUAAUUUUCUCAAUGCCUUAUGUUACUGUUUGCUUGUGGAACCAUGUUUUGGAUAAGAAAUCGGUUUAAUGGAAUAAAGAGAUAUAAGUCCUAAUACACCUAAUGGGUAAUUUUUGGAAGAGGUACAAAAAAAAAC
rnacentral:lncRNA from 1 species